GAUUGGAUCUGUAUUUAGUGGUUUGUUUCAUUGGCAUAGAUUUCGGAAAAUUCGAUUUUUGGAUUUUGUCGCAUUGUUAUCAUGAUCUCCGUGUUUGAAAAAUUCAAUUAUUUAUCUCAGAUCUUGUGUUGGAAUUGUGUCAGUUGUGAUAUGAUCUGACGAAUUACUGGGAAUGGUCGGGGAAUCUGAUGCGGUUGGACGGGUAUCAGUGGCAGCAUUGAUGGAAUAGAUGGCAAAGAGUGGUUUUUAGUUACGGGCAGGAAUGGUUGAGUGUACUGAAUAAGACCAUAUAAAAAGCUCAAAGUAUUUGAUGGACAGCUGAUGUCAGUUGUGAGAAUUUUUGCUUAGCUGCAAAUUUGAAAAAGCGUGAAGUUUGCAAAGGAAAGGUGAUGUAGCUGGGUUUGAGUCUGGAAGGGGGCAGAACUUCUACUCUGUCACAACCAAAAAGACAGAAAUAUGGUAGUUAAAAAAGUUGGCAUGCAAUUAAGGCCUUACCACUAAAAAGUAAUUUGUCAGUUCAGCAGAACUAUAAUUAAAACCGUUAGGAUCAGCUUGUCAAUGUAAUUAAGGCAUGAAUUGGACAUUCUCAGGAAUAAUUUGAUUCAGUUGAGUGGCAGUGAUGGCAAUGUUGAUAGAACACAAGGCACGGAUGGAUUUGAAUUGUGAUAGAUUGGAUGCUCAUUGUCGUGAGAAGGAAAUGUAAAAAAGUUGAUGUCAGGUGUGCUGAUUUUCAGAGUUGUGUUCUGGUCGGCAACUGAUUCUUUUUUUUUUUUUGUUACACUGAUGUAAUAAGGUAAACUUACCAUAUCAAUUUUUUUUUUACACAGAUUAAAUGUGAAAUCAGGAUAGGAAAAUUGAGAGUUAUUUUAUCACUGAUUUUGGGCCAUUUAUCAGGCUAUGUUAAGUGCCUAACAAAAGGAAGCCAUCUAUUACUUCAAUGCCACUAAAGCAUAAAAUGCCAAAAAGAUCUUUGAAUUAACUGGAUAACAUGUUUGACAUCUGCAAAAGACUUUUAAUGUUUGUGUUCUAAAAUCAAAUCAUGACAAUCUAGCUAAACAACAUAACUUGAUAUGAAGAUUUGGAGAUAAAUACUUGUCAGAUGAGGUAUUUCAUAUAAUGCAGCAUUGAAUCACAUCUUCACAAUAUGGCACAUAAUGUGUCAUUGAAUCAGAGGGAUCUGUUGCUAGAAAUAUAUGUAAACAUUGCAAAAGAAAAAUAGAGAUAUUUAUUGAUCUGUAUUUGGCUAAAUUUCAUCCAACUACACCAUUUAAUUUGCUUUCUUCUAUUGGUUUGAUUGAUGCCAUAUGUUAUGUUCAAGAUGACCAGUUUCAUUACCAAUUGAUUUGAGAUGUGUUGUUAACACAUGUAGUAAAUUUUUGGCAAUAGCUCCCUCUGAUAAUGAACUCGUAGUCUUGAAAUUAUUCCACACUUUCUUUCCAUGAUCAGGCAGUAUAUUUCACAAGUGACAUUUGUUGAUUUUCAUAGCCAUGGAAGGGAAAAAAGGAACAACCUCUUAACCAAGCAAACAAAAAGUUGCAAUCAAUUAGCUGAUACAUAAAUCCUCUCCUGGUUGAUCUGAAUUUGCUGAGUCACAUGUCAUUUCGUAUAAGAUUUGAUUUUUUUUUUUGGCUCUAUUUGCAUUUUAUGGUCAUGGCCAAGUCUGCUUUUGUUUGGUAAUGUCUACAUUGUGCCGAAGUUGGAUUGGAGAUCAAUUUUCAUCAAGGGGCUUUAGAAACCACAUCUAUUUGCUAAGAAGUGCAAAGUGGAUUCAUUUGACAUUUAAAUAAGUUUAAGUUGCUCCAAAUUAAGAACAUGUUCACUCAAGUGCUCAAAAUGGCCAGGCAUGCAACUUAAGUACAGAAAGACCAUGGUUAAGUAUGUUAAUACUAUACGCAGGUGUAAAUAUGGAGCCAGAGAUAUGACCUUCUAUAAAUUUACUUAAGGUUGCACAAGGAUGAACUUGACCUUUCUCACGUCUAAGUUACAUAUCACAAGUGAUAUUCCAAAAGCUUAUCUUUGGAACUGAGGAUACAUCAAAUCCUUAAGCUCCUAAAUUCUUCUCGUUAACUAGCUCUUAAAUUCUUCUCUUUUAACUACCACAGAAAAAAAGCUUCUCUCUUGAAAUAUCGUCUUCUUGUCAUGAGUGUAAAACAAAAAAGGUAAUUCCUACUGCACAUCAUGACAUAGCCAGAAAUAGAGCUUGCUUAGCAUGGACAAUUAACCAAUUUAUGCACCACCAUAUGGUAGAUAUGUGAAGCUUCGGCAUAAAUAAUAAAUGAUGCCAUGCUAAAAUCUGUUAUGAGAUUAAACCGCUGUAUCACUUAUUAGUUUGAACAUUUGGAAACAUGAUUCCUAAGGAACAUGUGGAAAAAGGAAUAAGCAUUUCACAACAGUUCUGGAUACAUAUUGUUUAGAAAGCAAAAAAAAUAUAAGGUACCGAACAAGGUUUUAAAUCUCAUGGGAUGGAGGUAUCUCGGUAUCUCCUUGGAACGAGAUGUCUCGCUAUCUUUUCCUGUCCCGAUAGUUGUCCCGGUCAUGUAUCCUGAUAGAUAUCCUCCUUCUCUUCUCUUCUUCUUUCAUUUUUUUCUUUUUUUUCUUUUUCUUCCGUCAUUUCUUUCUUUUUCUUCUAUCUUCCUUUCUUUUCUUUUCUUUUUUUUCUUUUGUUUCGUUUUCUUAUCAUUUCCUUUUUUUUCUUUUUCUUAUUCUUUUUCUUUCCUUUCUUUUUCUUCUUUCUUUUUCUUUUUUCCUUUCACUUUUUUUCUUUCUUCAUCUUCUUUUCUUUCUUUCCUCUUUUUUUUUUCUCUCCCUGCAUGGAUGGAUUUCAGAGUCUCCACCCCGUCCCAACCUUGUUUGCUCACAAGAACGGGACGGCUAGGAUGCCCCUCAUCCUGCCGAGACGUAAAAUCUUGGUACUAAAAUGGUGUUGAUGGUGGUAAGACAAUUGAAGAAUUUACAAUUGGAAGAUUGAAGUAAAAGGUUGUUCCAUGCAAGACUAUUGUUAGGUCUAACUGUAUAAGUUUUUGUUGCACUUAGUGGACUCUUAUGGAGUGGCAAAAACUAAAGAGAGAGGUUGCUGGUUUUCUUUUGGCUGAAUUAACAACCUAUGUCCAAAAAUCUAUAACUAGUCAGUUUUUGGGGGAGUGGGACCCAAUCAAUUUCUUUCAAAAUUUUAUGGGUUUCUUUGAGAUUUCAACUUUGUUGGAUCAUAUAUGUUUGAGUCCUCUAUGUUGCCCCAUGCUGAUAGGAUUGUAUUUGGUUGCAAAAAUUUGUCAGGUUUUCUAUUUUUCAUUUUAAAAAUAGAUUUAAGCAAGUGCAAUUAGAUGCAAAUCAAACUUGAUCAGAUUUAAGGAGUUGAUUUAGCUAAAAUUUUAGAUUUUUUCUGAUGCAAAUGAACAAUUAAGAACCCCACUUCAAAAUGGAUUAAGAAAGUAUAACAAACCUAUUUCUGUUAUGAAUAAUUAGGAACUCUAUUAGGCAGGCAAAUUAGUCAAGUUUCCUAGCAUAUUUUGGGGAAAUGUGUUUCCAGUUAGACUUACUGGAGUAUCCAGUUAUUGACCCACAAUCAUUCAUACAUCUGACCCCUACAAUUCAUUACUGGGUGACUGGACAGACAAUGAGACAAAUCUUGCUGUAUCUGUCAGUCCUUGUCAAAAAAUCCACUAUUAAAUGGUGUGGCACACCGUAAUGCACCGCAGUGGGCAAAUAACCAGAUUGUCCAAUUAUUUUAUAAACGAGAAAUGAUCCAAACUCUCAUCUAUUUUUGUUUCUUUUAUUGAGCUAUAUUUCAUUUGGCUGGAUGCAGGCCAUGUUAGGUUGGAUUCAAAGAGGUAAUCUGAAGUUCUGAACAUCCAACUUUUAGAAAGUGUCUUCUUGUUAUCAGGAUUGCUUUCUGUGUGAUUUUUGUUGGACAUCUCAUGCAGAAGAUUUAAUCGUGAAUGGAGCAUUAGCGGUAACUUAGAACUUUUGGAAAUAUUGCUUCACCUGUGCCUCUUUAUGCGCAUCCCUCUUGUUGAUGGCCUGCAUAAUAUCACUUCAAAAAGGACUGCUACAAGCUUAUAACAAUUUUGUUAGCACCCAAGCACCGAUGUUUGGGUUCCCUGUUUGAUCAGUAAUCCCAUUUGAAACUUGUAUUGAUAGGCCCCUCAUGAGAGCCCCUAUGGAUAGCUGGUUAGGUAAUUUAAUGGCUGUUUUAGUAAGAAAUAAUAUCUUACUUAAAUAUCUUCAAGCAGAGAUGUAGUUUAUGGAGGCAUCAGAAAGUUCAUUAUCUACCUUUUCUCUUUCUAGUUGAUUUAGAAUGUUUUGAGCAUCAUGUUGGAAUCAAGUUGGGGUUUAGGGAAAAUUUUUCUGUAUAAAUUUGACCACCUAUGAAAAUUACUUUGGGUGGAAUAGAAGAAAGAAAGAUUAAUGAUGAAUGUGAAUGAGGAAUUUCGGUUGAGCUUGUACUAUUAAGAAAAAUUUUGUGUACGUUUGGACUGGGAUGCUGUAUAAAAUCAAAAAGAGGUUGCAAAUAGUUAUGUUUCAUAUGCUAAUUACUGUAGGUAAAGAAUAUAAUUGCUAUGGCAAAGUGCUCUAGAAGUUUUGAAGCGACCGUCCGAUGUUGGAUGUUCAACCCGCUUAGCUGAAGUUCUUCUGAACAAAGAAUGUCAUCCUGAACAAAGGAUAUAGACAUAUUACAACCCAGAUGCAUAUUAACAUCUUGCCCAAACUACCAGUCACAGAAACAUACCGGGCUAAAGUUUAUAGUCUCUAGAAAGGAGUUGAUCCUGUUUCAUUUUCAUUAUGUCAGAUGCUGCAGCAUCAACAAGACAUGGUUGGCUGGUGCAUAUCCUCUCCUCUAAGGGUGAAGACUGUGGUUUGAUCCUGGGUUGUGGCAUAUCACCAGUCUACCACUGUUUGUCAGAUUGCUAUAUAGUGCUAUUCUGAAUCAUGAGAUUGUUUGACCUGACCCUCAUGUAUUCUCUGCCCAAUUAAACUGGACAACUGAUAGUUACAUAUGUGGUUUUCCCCUCUUUUUUAUUGGUUUGCAUGGCACUAAGCCAUGAUACAUAAGAACCAGGAUACAUAAUCUAAUGAAUGAAAGCCUCAGAGUUCCAUUACUAUUAAUAGAUGGCUCUGAUAUUUCUUGUGGGCACAGGCAUCUCAAGUAAUUCAGUCUUAUGGUUCUUCAUUAUCUGCAUAUGGUCUUUUUUCUUAGGUGUUCAUUUUAUUUCAAGUGGCUGUGGUUAUUGGCAAGAACUCAUCAAAUCCAUCGUUAGGGUCAUGACAAAUUAAAAGUUGCUCCCACUGCUCAACCUAGAGCCUUGAGCAUUGUAUAAGGACAUGCUGUAGGAGUAACCCAUUACCUUCUUGGUGGAAUUGCUACAAUGUGGGCAUUCCUAUUAGCAAGAAUUAUUGCUGGAAGAUUUGAAAGGCAUUAGGGCAUUAAGAUUUCUAGGUUUAGCCUCAGCUUAGCACUACUCGUCAUAUUUGGUUUGGUAUUGCUACUGCAUGUGACUUCGAGAGGCAUGAUGAUAUUACUGAGGAACGUCUUUAUGAGAACUUUUUUUGCUCUUUGUUGAACACUUGGGUUGGAUAGAAUGUGGAAAACUUCUAACCAAGUCCACCAUAAAAUUCACAUGUCAACUCCCAACCUGUCUUCAUGUUAGUUAACAUCAUUCUUUUCUAUUGUAAUUUCUUGGGAGAGAUUGGUUGCCGUACUGAAUUUUAAUGUUUUGAGUAAUAUCCAAGUAAUUAGUGUCUGUUAUUUUUUACUUCCUCUAUGAAUUGAAAUAUUGAAUAAUAUUUUUGUGGUUUCUUCUUCGGGCUUAAUAAUGGAAGAAGGUAUGUCUCUACCUCAGGCUUACAGAAGUUGUUCUCUAGUUCUGAUUGAUGGUUGCUCUACUCUUCUGAUUCAGGCUUCUAGUCCAUUGCAAGUGAAGUAUGCAGAUGGUGAACUGGAAAGACUAGGUGCGUAAUGUUGUGCAAGCCAGAACUUACAAUUUUGCAUUUCCUAGAAAUAUGAUAUUCUGCCUCUUUUCUUCUUGAUUUAUAGUUAUUUAUGUUUGAUGGUGAUAUUUCUGUUUUAGAUAAGCCUUUUUGAAUACUUGUUAUUGACAUGUGCAGAACACAAACUUUUCAUCGGUAUGCUUCCGAAGAAUGUAUCUGAAGCUGAAGUUUCUGCUUUGUUUUCAACAUAUGGUAACAUUAAGGACCUACAAAUCUUAAGAGGUCCCCAACAAACAAGCAAAGGUACAGUUUGUUCCUUUCUAUAUUUUUAACUAGUUAACAUGACUCACUCUCUACUCAGCAGGUUGUAGUUCUGAAUUAAAAUUUUCAGUAUUUAAUUAUCAUACUUUCCUUUCUUCUAGAAAGCAUCAAUACUUUAAAUCACAUGCAGUUUCCAUAUCAGAUACAUACUAGAUAUAGAUAUUUGUUGGAAACUCCUAGGAUAUAUAUCCAAUGUUCAAAAAUGUUUGGAAACUUCUUGGAUAUGCUUAAGAUCAUGGUUUGCCAUACCCCACCUUGUACCACCCGGUAUAGAGCAUACUAUACUGGUCUGGCAUACCGUAUCAUAUCGAUACUCUCAUACUGUACCGACCUGCAUACCAACAUUGUAAUAAAAUGGUACGGUACUCAGAUAGCAAAUCUUGUUUAAGAUACUUCUAGGACACCUCCAAGACUGAGGGUGAGGAUGUUUCUUUCUUUUCUCUAUGAACAUUACCUCAUUAAUGAUAAAUGGUUAAUUUUAGUUUUGAGAUGUUGCUAUUAAAAGCAUGGAUUGUGAAUUAUGGUCUAUGGGUUUGGAUGAUGACUAGAUGAUGAAUUUACGGAAGGUGAUGCUAAUACAUAAAGUACGCAUUAUGCUAUUGCGGGGUACAUUAUUACAUAUAUUUGUAAAAUGUAUAUGUACAUGUUGGCAUAUCCUAGUUAAAGUGUCCUACUUUUUCAAAAUUUACUGUAUUGGCGUAUACAUAUCAUAUCCACAUCCUGUGUGUGUCCAUGCUUCCUUGUUAUUCUUUUUUAAUCAGAGUCACUUAUUUCUUUCUUUUACUUACAAUAGCAGGCUGUGCCUUUUUGAAGUAUGAAACUAAAGAUCAAGCUCUUGCAGCACUCGAGGCCUUAAAUGGGAAAUACAGAAUGGAGGUCUGUGUUUAUCCAACUAAGAGACUUCUGCAGAUUUUCAUUUAUUUUGUUUAGCUCUUUAUGCCUUUUUCUUUCAAAUGAUGCAAAGAAGACAACUAUAUAACAUUCAUAUGUUCUCUCUUCCCAAGUUGCAUAUGGCUUAAUGUUAGACACUACUUUUCUUGCACUAAACUGAGAGAUAGUCCAAAGCAAUAUUGUUCUAGAAGCGUGUGAUAGUGCAUAUUCUUUGAUUAGUACUUGCAGGUAUGGCAACCAUAUGAUAUUUUGGGACAAGUGGUGGAUUAUUUGUUGGAUGAGUUGCUGCAUAUGAUGCACAGAGUGGCAUUUGUAGAAAGCCAAGGUGUCUUCUCAUUGUAAAAUUAUAUCGUUCUUGAAGCUAUAAGAGUGUUGGCUGUGUUGUUCAAAUGCAGUACAAUCCAUUGAUGGGGCUAAUAUCCUUGUAUAUGCUAUUGUGAUAGGCUAUGCGUUACAUACAUAUACAAGCACUAAUUCAUUUGUAUCAUUGUGUAUACUAUUGUGAUAGGCAAUGCGUUACGUACAUAUAUGAGAACAAUUCUUAUGGCCAUUGAUCUUAAUGUACUUGUUCUUGGAAACCCAAGUCGCCAAUUAUUUGAUAGAAGAUCGAAAAACCAUGUUGGAGAAAUAGUCAUUGAAUAACUUUUGCUUUAAUAGCCAUGACAUGUUUUCAGCUCUGGCAUUGAGGUGGGGAAUGAUAUUAUGCUAUUGGUUUUCCAAGGAGAUGAAAAUUUCUCAUUUGAAGACUUACCAGUGGUAGUUCGCCAAUGGUUCACUGCCUAGCGUAGACACUAGUCUAUUUUGGCAUCUGAGUCAUGGAUUAGCAGUUUGAUGCAGGUUGUAUAGUUCAGUGAUGACAAAAUUCAUUCACAAAAGCCUACUGCCUUUUUCCAAAGAGGAAAAAAACCUAUUUUCUGACUCUGAGAGUUGGGAAAGGAAGAAAUCAUCAAGCUCCAAUUCUUGGCAAUGGCUGGCUAUGUUCUUUCUUGAAAUCAGUUAUUGAGACCUAAUCUCUAAUUCCUCUUUUAAUUGUAGAAAGGAAGAAAUCAAUGAUGUCCAAUUCUUGGUGCUUUGCUUAAUGUCAAUGGAUUCCUAUCAGCAGCAAAGAAAAAGGGGACAAAGAAUAAUGAUUGCGGAAUAGAAGAGGGACAUAAUUAGCUGCCUGUUGGAGCCAAUCAUAGCCCAUGAUGGCAUCGGACAAAAAUUAAGGCGGAAAAGGAGAGGGAUGAAAAAUCAAUCAAGAAAGAUGGAAAGAGAUCAUCAGGCUUAAGAAUAUGAUAGCAUUAGGUCAUUAGACAUUUUUCAAAUGCCUUUUCUUUAUGACAUCUUAUCUGCUGAAGCAAGCAUGUUUGGACAUUUUAUUAUAAGUGGUUUGAAUGCUUCAACCACUUGGAUCAAUGAUAUAAAGAUAUUUUGAAUUGGUUUCACAUAAAAAUUGUUUUUGCACCAAUCUAACUCUCAAUGCCUUGCAAGCAAUGGUUCGACCAAGUCAGCAUGAGUGGGUAGACUGGGUUUUAUUGAAUUUUAAUCAAGGUUUUAAACUCUAGCCUGAAGGUGGAAAGGAGAGGAAUGGUCAAUGAAAUGCCCUCUAGAGUUAAUUAAGAUUGUUCAGCAUAAUUGCAUAGAAACUAAUAGUAGUCGGGCAAUUAUUAUGUGAGCAAGUUCAAGCUAAUUGAUGAUAACUUAGUUGAGAUCACUCAAAAAUUGACAAAUAUGUUGCAUUUAUCUAAAUACAGGUCCAUCAUUUUAUACGUUAUUUUGUUAAAGAUUAAACUUCCACAUAUAAUCGAAUUGGGAAAAUUGAACAAAUCAGGUAUAUUCUUUGCUACAAUGAUGGCCACCUAUGGGAAUGAAUGAAAAUUCAAGCUUCCAAUGUUGAAGAUGCUAUAAUAAUUAGUUAAUAAUGGAAACAUCAUUACCAUAAAUAGUGUUUAACAUGCAGCAGGACGCUGCUUACUUUGGCGUGGACAUAAUUAAGUUAUGUUUAUUUAAUCUUGCAAAGCCCAUCUUUAGCUCAUGUGUAAUGUAAUUGAGCUAACACGCACUAGCAUGUAGGUAGAAGGCAGGGUUGUAUAUCAGCCUCAUUAUGGUCUUGAUGGAAAAAAUGAUUCUUCAUAGCUGUUUGCUUGACGCUUGGCAUGGUCGGCUAUAAUGACAAUCAAGGAUGGGCAAAUUUACCAGACAUCUUAGCAUAAGGCCAUGACGUUGCUUAACAUUCAUACUGAUUGCCCACUUUAGUCAAGGAUUUAAGUGCGGUGGCAUGGGGUGUGUUGUUUCGUGGCUAGAUGAAACAUGCCUUGUGCUGUGUCAAACUCAAACUUGGCACACCAUGGACACGAUUUGCAUGGCAUUAGAACACAUUUUACAAGGGAAUGGGGUUUUAUAUUUUUUUCUUUUUCUUUUGAUGCUUUAAAAUUCUAUCGGUCUGUAUAAUGACUAUUUCAUACACUAAAGGAUAUUUAGAGUUCCUACUAGUAUCAAACAUUCAAAACAUUAGUUUUUGUAGGUUGUAAUACAUUGUAUAAUGUGUUGUUUAAAAGUUAUAUUGACUUUAUAAUAAUGCCUGUACAUUGACAUUAUGACAUCGUUAACAAAAAUAUGUGGUAGUCAUUCAGAAAAUCUUGGAUGAGGGAAAAAAGAAAAAGAUUUGAGAAAUUUGGUGGCAUUUAAGGGUUUCUAUUUCAAUCCAUUCCCAAACUUUGGUGAGGUGGAAAGUUGACCUUAUUGAACUCAAAUGGGAAUGCAAUAAGUAGUACAAAUUUUCUUUGCUUAAAUGAUAUUUGUGUGAAGAAGAUUUGUUUUUUGUUAUCUGCCUGAUGGGUCAUUUUUCUACUUACUACAAUGUCAUCCCCCUCCCUUUCCAACAUAGUGAAUAGUGAAAACAAAAAUAUGUUUUAACCUUUUUGGCUCAGUACCAAGCACUAUCAACCCAAUUCUAGGUACCUAAAUAGGCAUGACAUGGAUUAAUACUUGAGCCAUUGAGUUUAUUAGUGUCAUGGGAUCAUAAGAAGAUGAACAACUCCUAAGUAUGCACCAUUUAUGGCCUUGAAAGCAAGGCUUGAAGUACUGGUAUUGCUGCCUAUAUUGGUACCUUAACAAUAUAGGUAUACUAUUGAACUAAUACAUGGUACGGAUUGAUAUCAAUGGGUAUAAAUAGCAGCAAGGAUUUACUAAUUGGAUUGUGUUGUUUUGUAUUGGGCAUAUUGUAUCAACUAGUAAGUAAUUGGAACUUGAUAUGCUCCCCAUAUCUUGUCGAUGCUAAGGAAUGUAGUAUAUUGAUGCUUGCUGUGGGUGUACCAGGGGACCAUUGGUAUACGUACCAAAACCGGUACUUAAAGCUAAGGUUUGCCAUCUCAGAACCGAACCCCGUAGUAGUACCCUCCUAUUAUGGUGUUAGGAUGCUUGGUAUAAUACCUAAUUUGGUAUACCGAAAGUCGGUAUGCCUCCCAUAUUGCUUGCUAGUUUGAUAUAGGUAUGGUAUGGUGUGGUUAGUAGGCACCGAUAUCGAUCGGUAUGUCAAACUUUGCUCAAAACAAUUGGUAGUACUAUGAUAUGGCAAGGCUGAUACAGAAUUUGCAUUUAUGCUUAAAUCCUUGGUUGAAAGCCUCUAAUCCAUGGUGGCUUGUUGCUCAUGAUGUUGAACCAAAUUAUGGCGUAUCUAAGACUCAUAUGUCAUGAUAACCUUGAGUUUUUGUAAGAAAGGAGAGGAACUUACUGGAUAGAGCAUGAUUUCAUAGGAAGACAACCUUAAUAUUUGAGAACAUGACAUGCAAUGAAAAGUUCAUUUAAGGGAGCACUGGAGCUCUUAGAUUCUGCUUGUAUGAGCAUCAUGGCUAGCAGUAAUACCAGCAACUAGAUGAAAUGGGACAUGCAAUGAAUAGUUUAUUUGAGGGAGCAUCAAUGAAGAACUCCUAGGAGGCACAUCUUGGAGUAGAAAAGAUAAGAGCUUUGUUCUUUGAUUAUCUUUUAUUUUAAAGAAAAAAUUAUUAUGCAAAUAGGAAAGCCAUAGUUUAAAACUUAUCCAUUGUUUCCAUUUCCAAAUAAAAAAUUGAGACUUCCAUCUGUGCAAAACUUCUUAUUCUUCAUGAAAUUUCUAACCAGAAAAUAAAUUUUAAUAGAAACAAGAAAGAGUAGAAAUGUUUCUUCUGAGGGCUUUUCAAUUUUUGCCUUGAGAUGAGACUCUUAAAAUGCCAUGAACUUCAUGAGUGAGUCUAUAUAUGGUGAGGCAUAUGCUCCACGUGCAGAUGCUCAUUUGAAGUGCACACCUUACAACUUAUGCCUUGUGCAGGAGGUAUAUGCAUUCGGUUUUAUUCCUGCUCAUAAUGAAUGGAUCUUUUGAAUUCUUUUAUGACAUUGCUGUAUAUAUUUUCAUAAAAAAGACAUUUCUGCAUAUAGGGUCUAACUAGUAUGGCAAGAUGUGUUAAGAAGCACCGAUCACUAGGUUUAAAUUUUGCAUUGCAAUUGUGAAUUGCCCUUGGUUAUAACAAAGUCUAUAAUGUUUGUUUCCUUUACCUUGCUUUGUUGGCAUGAUGUUCUUUCAAGGAAUUCAUGAGACCUAUAUUUUAUGCCUUUUAUGCUUUUGCAUUGCCUCAUUAUGUGCCACAAUGCCUCACCUUAUCCCUCCCCCCUUUAAAAAUUGAAUAGAAAAUAAGUGAAAUAAUUGAAUUGGAGACUGAUAAAAAAGGAACGACUGGUUACAAAAACCAUAAAGCAACGGUUCGAUUUAGACUAAUUUCAGUUUAACUUAAUCCAAAAGUUGAAACAGAUUGGUUUCAAUUGGAACUUCUAACUCCAUGAUGCAUCCUUGUAGUCAACGGAGUGAACCUGAUGCCUGGUCCCAAAUGUUAGCACCAGGACUAUGUAGCUUGAAUUUUCAAGUGCUGGAAAGUUGCUAAGAUGCAAUCAUCCACAAUGUAGGUCCUUAACCCAAGACAUCCUAUGAACAAAGGCCAUAACCAUUAACCCAUGUUAUAUAAUAGAGGUAUAUCCUAUGAAUGAAUGUUCAAUUAAUAUACAUCCAUUGUUAUGCCAAAGCCUCAAAGUCCAGCCAUGCAAAGUUGGAUGAGAAGACUUUCCUGUGAGGUCCAACUGUAAGGCUUUCAUGUUUUAGUAGGAAAGGUGACAGCAGUUCUAAUGCGUCUCUUGUGGAGGUGAUUUGUUCUCUUUCUUAUCUAACAAGAAAAAAGAGACCAUGGACAUAACUUCUCUUUCUUAUUUUAGUUUGUUUAUCAAAAAAAGAAACCAUCUAGAUGGCUCUUAUCUCUUGUUUGAAUUUCAAUGGUAAAGAAAUCAACGAAGAUGAAGCAUCUUCUCUGAGAUGCCUAUUUCUUCUAGAUUAAUGUUGCUAUAUUUUCUCUAUUAACAUGCCCUGGAAGGGUGUACAUGUGGUUUUUGGUCAAUAUACAGGGGAGGACAAAAUGCCAACUUUUCACUGUUGGUUGCAGCUGUUUCACUGAGCUUUUAAGGAAACAAAGCAAUAAAGCAUUAUCACUUCUAGAUAUUUAUGACACUAAAGCUGCCUGCCCCUGCCCCCUUCUUUUCAUUCUUCACAUCUCUCGCAAUUUAUAGCCUGGCACAUCUUCAAUAAGCAUUUUUUUUUUAAUUUUUAAAUUUCUUUCAGUGAGGAAAUAUACCAGGCAAAAGUUUGAGCGUGUAUCAGGUUAAAUAAAUAAUGCAAAAAAGAGUCUCACUUGGGUGAUCACAACCAUUCAAAGUCUCUCUCUCUCUCUCNNNNNNNNNNNNNNNNNNNNUACUCUCUCUCUCUCUCUCUCUCUCUCUCUCUCUCUCUCUCUCUCUGUGGUUUAUCUGGUGUGCCCAAUACUAGUCCUAGUGUCCUACAAUAUAUCAUGGUGCUAUAUCUCUAUUGGAGAAAGUAUAUAAAGAAGCAACUUACCACUAUAGAUUUUAUUAAAAUAAUAGAGAACCUAAAUUUUCUGACAUAAAUUCUUAAAUAUAGAAUGUAAUGAAAGCUUAGUCACAAGUUUGGCAUUAGGAAGCCAUAAAGAUCUGGAUCAGGAAAAUGCAGAAAGUUCAUGAAGUUGGAAAAUCCUCACUUCAAGCAAACAUAAAUAUGUAUAUAUGUAUCAUAAAUGUAUAUAAUAAUGUUUCAAUACAUGGAAGUUCAUCUGAAAAAGAAUGAUGAAUGAUCAAGUCUGUAUUCGAGUAUCAUGAAUUAAUUAUGAAGUAUUUUAUGGAUAAUUUAUGAUCAGUUCAUGAAUUAAUUGUGAAUUUCAUGAUUAAUUGUCACAUUUUUGGUUCAGUUGCAACAAAAAAAAAAUUCAGAAAGUAACUUUAGGUGAAUAAAUUGUUUUUUUCUUUUUUUUUUAAGAAUUGGAGGAAUAGUGUGAAUAAGAUAUUAGAUAGAUUUAGGAGGUGCCAAUGACAAAGUUGGUAAUGCCUUUAGGUGAUGAUACAGGAGACUGAGUUCAAUUCUCACCUUUCCCCCACCCAAAAAAAAAUGUGCCUUUGCUUCUGUCCCUUCUAUUGUAUCCUCUUUUUCUUCUGAUUUCUUGCAGUGCCAUUAAGAUCCCUUUGGUAUUGGAUUUUAUGACUUACUUGAAACAUGUCCACUUGUGUAGGAAUUAAACGACAAAUUAUACAAUUAGAUAUGGGAUGGGUUGACUUGAUUGUUUAUUUUUUGAUGUCAAGCAGGGAUCAUGUUUGUUUUGGAAGGGUUGGGUAAUCAUUGGGUCCAAGGUUUGCUGUACCAAUCGGUACCAUAACAUAUUGGAUGUACCAUACCAUACUGUAUCGAUACUGAACCAGUAUAGAGUCCCAUGCCCUACUGAUUCUCGGUAUGUUUUGUUAUCUUGUAUUGUACCACAUACUGACACUGUAAUUAGAUGGUACUGGAUAGGGUCCAACACCGACAUGGCAAAUCUUGAUUGGGUCCUUUAUCAAUUUUGUUACUUUAUUACAAAAGGCUUACAUUGGCAAACACAAGAAUUUAAGCUUAUCCUAUUGUAGAGAGGAAGUGUCUCUUGGCAAGGAGAAAAAAUGAAGUUCCAUUUCUCUAUUUUUUAAGCAAAAGAAAUGGAUGACCGUUCAACAAGCAAGCUACCCAUGAUUCAAAUAUUGACUUUGAAGAUCACCAUGUACAAGAAAUUGUAGUUUGUGAUGGUUAAUAACUGUCACGCCCCUGAUCUGGGAUCGCGAGCCAGGGGUUGUGGCAAUCGCUGUAUACUUAUGGAGAACUCUAUCCACAAGCAUGCAUGGCAUCACAUCACGAUAUCAUAACGCAAUAGUAGAAUAAAAUUCAAAAAAUUAAUGUUUAAUUUUAAUUCAAAUAAAUCAAAUAUCUUAUAAAAUAAAACGUCAUAGUUUUUCAUCAAUUUCAAUAAAUCUUAAUCUAAAAUAAAGAUAUCAAAUUCUGCUUCUAAUUUGCUUUUCCAUAUAGAAUUUUUCAAUCAAGGUAGUUCUUUGAAUAUAUAAAAAUACUAAAAUAGAUAAUAAUGAGCUAGACAGCCCAGUAAGUAAUAUACACUUUAGUUAGAUAAAUUCAGCAAUAAUAAUAUGCUAAAAAUAAGUAUGCAAGGUGCAUCAAUUCAAUAUAUGCAAUACUAAUCAAAUAAGAUCUAUGAAAAUUUAUUUUCAUUCAUAAAUCAAUUUUUUUCAAAACAUCAUGUUUGUCUCAACAGCCACAAAGUAUGACCAUACUUAUAUCUUAUGGUUAGGCCAGAUGAGCUCAGCAUAGAUACGAUGACAAUCUAUAAAUCCCAUUGGUAGGGUAUCGAUAUACUAGCGUAUAAUCUCAACUGGCAGGGUGUCGAUAUAUCAGUGUAUAACCCCCACUGGUAGGGUGUCAAUAUACUAGCAUACAAUCCGCAUUGAUAGGUAUUGAUAUACCAAUGCAUAACCCCUUCUAGCAGGGUGUCGAUGUACUAGUGCAUAAUCUCCACUGGCAGGAUAUUGAUAUGCCAACAUAUAAUCUUAUUGGUAGGGUUUCGAUACAUAGUUCAGCUUCAAAAUCCAUCUUGAUUUAAAUUUUUUUUUCAAUAAAAUCCAUUUCGUAUUUAAAUCGAACAAUAUACAAAAUCAUUCGAAAUCAAAAUCAAUCGAUCACAACUCCCUAAUGGGAUCAAUGCCUUCGAUAAUGCAUCAAUAGUAUUGUAUCAUAUAUUUAUCGAAUAAAUAUCAUGCUUCAUAUUCGUAAAUCACAAGAAAUAUGAUUCAAAAUUCAAUGAUAUAAGUAGUAUAUAAUUUGUCGAUAAAUCUAGAAAAAGUGAAGCAUUACUUAUCUUAUACAUACUCCAACAAAUUCAUAUAAUUCCAUAACUUUUUUUCAAAAUCUUUGAUUCAUAGAUCACAUUGUAGUAUUCUACUGCGGGACAUCUUCUUAUCGAGACAACUAUAUCCCUAUACAUAAUUAAGUCCAAUAAUCAAAAAGUAUACGAAUAGUUAAAUAAGACAUGAUGAAUGGUAGUCGCAUCCAAUAGUCUGAAUCAAUCUGGUCAUGAUAAUUUUAUUCGAUCAUGAUCAAACUAGGAUACAGGUAGUUCAAUAGAGAUCGAGGGUCAUCAAAUCAAUAGUGUCCAAUAAGGGUCAGGAUGGAGGCCAAUACAGUGCUCAGAGAUUAAAGAUCAAUUCGAUCAAAUAAUUUCAUUUAAUCUAGAUUAGAUUAAUAUAUAAUUGACUCCGUAGAGAUCAAAUCUAAAAGUAUCCAAGUCUAAGCAAGGUAGGUACUGGCAUGUUAUCCAAUGAUCACGAAUCCGGAUCCUUCACUGAAUUUGAUCAAAAUCAUUGAAAUAAAGCCCUUUACUCGAUCAAUCUUAGAGAGAUAAAUUUCAUAAAGAGAGAAACAAUUCUAGAGAGAGAAAAUUAUUAGAGACAGUAAAAUUUUUUAGAGAGAGAAAGUGGAGAGAGAAACUAAAGAGAGAAACAAUUCUAUGGAGGGAAGAGGGAAGAGAGAGAAAGAACUCUUUCUCUCUCCUUUUUUUUCUUUUUUUUUUCUUUUCUUUCUUUUCUCUUCUUUCUUCCUCUUUUCUUUCACGGAACAAAGGAUCCAUUGCCCCUCUUAUUCCGAAGCAUGGGAAGGCCCCCUUGUCCGGUAGUGCCUGUGGCUAGAAGAGCAGACCACGACCGCAUGAUCAAGGGACUCUAGUCCAGUGAUUGGUGGUGAGGACGGCAUUGGAAAAGAUCAAUAGAGUGACGGAAAAAUAAAGAAAAUUUUAGAGCUAAGUUUUUCAAGAAAAUCUGGUGAUUGCUAGCUAGAAUCCAUGAUCCUAUGACUAAGAAGGAGAGGAGGGUCAAUCAAAGUUUGCCGACUAAUACCUGACUUUUCCGGCAAUGUUAAGGUUGAAAUCUGGCAGCACAAUGAUAGCUUUCGGGAAGAAAACUCUGGCAAUUUCUCCUCUGGUUGGGCUUGAUCUCCGAUGGGAAGGAUGAGAAGACUUCUUCCCUCUAAAUAGAGAUGGAGGGGGAGGAGUUACACUCCUCCCUGGCUUUGAUUUCCACCAAAAAAUGGGAGGAAGAAGACUCCCAAUUGAAGUCUUCUUCAUUGUUUAACUUUUUUUUUUUGAUGCUUUAAUAAUCAUGCAAAUCCUUUUUUUAAAAAAAAUUGGGUCCCCUUUUUUUUUUUGUGGCUAAUCAGGCCUAAUUAGGUAGGGUAUCACCAUAACUAUGAGAUGAUUUGGUCUAAGUGGACUUGAACAAUCUAUCCUCAAUUUGUUGAGGAAUUUACUUUGGACAAAUGAGCAUUUGUGAGAGCAAAGUAAAUCUGGAUGAUGUCAUGUGAGCCAUUGUUUCUCAAAUAGAUGCAGUGAACUGGUAGAAUUGGGUGAUUGGAGCCUUUGAUAAUGUGUUUCAGGUUAUGAUGCUUCCACUAAGGUUAAUUGGCCACAAGGUCCAGCAUCCCUGUUAUACCAUUUUGCUUCAUUUUUUGGAGUAAUUUUUUGUUUUAUUACUUUCCACUUAGGGUUUAGGAUAACAAUUUUAUUCUUUAUCCUUGCACAAUUAUGAUCGCAAUGGAUUCUUCAGUAUCUUACAAGAGCUGUUCUGCACAUGCAGGGUUCAAGCAUGCCUUUGGUUGUUAAAUGGGCUGACACAGAGAAGGAAAGGCAAGCCCGGAGGGCACAGAAAGCUCAAUCUCAGGCCUCAAAUCAUCCAAAUACCAAUUCAAUACAGCACCCUUCAUUAUAUGGAGCUUUACCAAUGGGAUACAUUCCUCCAUAUAAUGGAUUUGGCUAUCAGGUGAGAUUCCUUCAAUUGGUUGAAAAGAUAUCUCUUGAAUAGAUAUUUCCAAAAAGUAGAAGUGCUAAAAGUGUAUCUUUUUAUAAAUUAGAUUUUUCUUGUUGCUUAUAUUUUUUUCUCCGCAUGAUAAUAUUUCUUGUAAUGCAUAUCUUGCUUUUGCUUUAUGUGUGUUUUUCUUGUUUUUUUCUUCUUGUAACUGCUUUUUUGUUUUUAUUUUAUAGAGUCGUAUCUAUUGGGAUGACAGUUAAAAGUAUAAAUAAUGUUUGCUGGAAAAACCAUUUGAACCCUUUGAGAUUUAUCUGGUUCAUGUGAAUCUGGAUUUCCAGCAGAUUUUUCAGGUCAUGGGCCUGUUUAUUUAUGAACUACCAAUUGUCAAGAUUGAGGUGUUAAGUAAAGUGCUUUAGAUUCCUGUAGACAGCUUAGAUGGUUUGCUCAUAUGUACUUCAUUUUAUUAGAAAAUAAUUUAUUUAAUAAAAUUACCAUAUUUUUAGUUCAAGCAUCAUACAAAAUUGAAACAGAGAGAGGUGAAAGGUAGCAAGGUUUUAAAUCUUGUGAGAUAAGGCUAAUCUGAUUUUUCUGCGGAACUGGACAUGCCUUUGUCCUGUCCUAUCCUAACACUUGGGACUGGGGAUGUCUCAAGAUGUGCCAAAUGGGACACUGGGAUGAUGGUGAGAUGGUCCUGUUCUGAAAUUUGGGAUGGCAGCCCGUCUCCGUGUCCUAAGGGAUACCCCAUGGGGAUUUGAAACCAUGCAAAGUAGCACAAAUAGGCAUAAUGAGUCAAAUGGUGUUUAGCCACAAUGCAUAACCAGCAGACCUACGCUAGAAAUAGUAUAUCCCAUUCCAAUGCACUAAUUACCUACCAUGGUAUCUCCACUCAUCCAAAUAUUGACAAAGAUGCCACAAUAUGAUUUCAGCAUAUGUAUGUUUCCCUAGCUACUUAGUUUCAUAUAGCACUAACAGAAAUUUAAAGGUCCUAAAAAUAUGGUCCAUGAAGUUCACAUCCACCUUUGUAAAAACCAUGUCUUAUGCAUGUAUCAGUCUACCCGCUGCAUAAUAUAGCAUACUUUAACAAUCUGAGAGUACCAACAUGUUGUGACAUGACAAUCUAUACGACUGUUUAUACAUGCAUAGUAAGGGACCGAUUUCUUCUUUAUGUCAACUAGUUUGGACUAUUUGAUGCUGGGGAAUAUAUCUGCCCAUUUCCAAAUGCCUGAAACACUUGAAGCAUCAACAAACUUAUCCAUCAAUUUAUGGUACAUCUAUUGACUUUCACCUCUGAAAUGAUAUCUGGAUCUCUAUAAAUUCUAUUUGAUUUCAUGCUCUCUUUUCUUUUCCAACAUAAUUUUCUUCUCACAUCAUGGCAAUGCUGGACUGCUUAUGUCCUUUUUUCCUUUCCUUUUUACCCCUCUUGCUGGCACAGCCAACUGGAACUUAUGGACUCAUGCAAUACCCUUUAGCUUCAAUGCAAAAUCAAGCUGCCUUCAAUAAUAUGGUUCCUCCUGUUAAUCAAGGAAAUACGGUACAUGGAAUUAGUCCAGAUCUUUCCCCAGGCACGGUGCCCAGGAAUUUUGCCACAAUGCAAUCUGCCGGCUACAUGGGGUCGGCAUAUCCUGCCAUGCCAGGUGUUCAAUACCCUCUAGCCUAUCCAAGUGGUAUGAUGAGCCACAGGCCUUUUGGAAACUCCCAUGCACCAGUCCAACAGGUAAACAUGAAUAGUAAUCCAGCAUCAUCUUCAAGCACCAGUACGAGUUCGGGGGGUCAGGUAGAAGGUGAUGGACUUCCUUUUGCCCUUGCAUUCCUAUUAGUCCUUUAAGCUGGACUCCUGAUGUUUGUUGUCCUGCUAGCUGAUUAUUCAAUUGUUACUGUCAGGUCCUCCCGGAGCUAAUUUAUUUAUAUAUCAUAUCCCCCAAGAAUUUGGCGACCAGGAGCUUUCAAAUGCCUUUCAGGGAUUUGGAAGGGUUUUGAGCGCUAAAGUUUUUGUUGACAAGGCAACUGGUGUUAGUAAAUGCUUCGGUAAACAACAUGUUUCUCUCUAUGAUAUUUGAGUUGUUUUUGAACAUUCCAAUAAAUGCCUUUGAUAUGCAGGUUUUGUAAGUUAUGACUCUCCUGUAGCUGCUCAGGCUGCCAUCAAUGCAAUGAAUGGUUCUCAGUUAGGUGGUAAAAAGCUUAAGGUACAACUUAAGAGAGACAAUAAGCAGCGCAAACCUUACUGAUGCUGGAAGCUAUUUGCAAGGAAACAAAAUUUCCUACAUUAUCUGGUCCCUUGCAGUUUCAGAGUUUUAUGACUGCAAAAUCAGGAAUUUAGUACAAGGUGGAUGGAAGAAAAUUGAUCAUCUUAUGCUUUGCUCCAUCCCAUCUUGUCUGAAGGUGGGGACACGUAGCUUCUUUUCUAUUCAAAUUCUUGACAUUUGUUACACUUGAUGUAUUCUAUUCAGCAUAUUUGUAAUUUUUGUAUCAUGAAUUUUUCAUUAGACAUCAGCAAUUAAAUUCAUUUGAUUCCCUCAGAAGUGGUUGGUUAUAUGUGCGAUUUUGGGCGAGUCAUGGAAUGGUGAAAAUCAUGCCUGGAAUUUGCAUUAAAACCAUUGAAAUUUAUAUUCUACUUCAUGCAGUUUAUCGGCCAGAACCGUGGAAAUGUCUGCGAUAAACAUCUCCAUACCAUGCAAUGUUCCUUAUGGUGUCUAUGUUUAAAGCAUUGGAGCUGUGUUAGCUCAUGGUGUAUUUUUGAGAACGUCCCUUUGAUACAUGUUUCUUUUCCCAGUUUCUUUUGCUAUUUUUCUGUGAAAGCAGUACAAGAUGUUGCGUUGCCACUUGCCCUGCCCGUGGGUGUCUGGUGUCCUUAUUCAAGCAGUGUCCUUAACCAGCGAUUUUGAAAGUUAAACAUUUUGUGAAGUUUUGUCCAUUGUAUUAUUUCUGUUGAGAGAACAUCUCAAUGUGCAGUGACCAUUCAGGUAUUUUGCAAUUUCUACAAGUGUUGUUAUGUUGUCAUCUUUUAUGAGAUUUUAUAUGCAAUUUCUCUAUUUGAUAGUCACCUUUAGAGCUCAGCAUGACCAUAGCAGUUUGUAUAUCAUUGUAUUUGUAUGUGUUCUGAUCUCAACAUCUUUGCUCUGCAGAAAGCUCAAAGAUGCCUUCUAAUUUCCAAUGAUCUCACGUAUAUCACUACUACACAUGGAGGCCUUCCAGGUAAUCUGCACAAAUUUUUGAUGAUUGGUUUAUCAUGAGAAAUUUGUCUUUGUAAUGAAAGAUUUCAUAACAUGACUAUUUGGACAUUCUUCUGUCACUAAAGAACAUUAUUAUCUGCAGCAUUCUGAGCUGCAAUUUAGAACAACUAAUGAAUGGUAAACUGUAUAUGUCAUGCAUGUGGAGACUAAUGCUCAAAGAUGAUGUUAGUUAUAAAAAAUCAUUAGGCUACAAAGGUUGAAAGAUUGAAAAUUACAUUUAGAUAUUUUGUGAUUGUUCUAAAGUAAUAGUAAUGCCAGAAGCAAGUAUGUUAUAUAUAGCAAAGUCAAUUAUACCAACAUAUGUACAUUUUUAUGUAUAUGCAAUUAUGUUGUAUGUGAUUUACAUAUAACUAAUAUAAGUAAUUGAAAUGUUUGGAGUAGUUGGAAUCUUUGAUCCCAUUAAAUUUCAGGCUAUGCUAACUAGAUAAUUGCUCACAAGUUGCGUGCACUGAAUUGAUCAUGUUCUGAAACUCUGGUCCAAUCAGAUCUCGGUCUAUGUUUUAGUUGUUAUGCAGUUUCACCAGAAAACAAAAGUAGAUUUUCUUUUAUAUAUUAAAAAUCUUCAAAUAUUAAUUUACAAAUGAAAUAUUCAGAAGGCACUUAAAGUUAUAAAGUAAUAUAUUUAAAGAUGACCUAUAGGAGUUUUAGUGCCCUAGUUGGCAUGGUUUGGACCAGGGUUUUUAAAAUCGUGUCGAACAGCUCGAUACACCUUAUACCGAGCCAGACCGGCGGGAAAUCAGGACGGAUCCGGCGUCUAAAUCGGUUCUUGGAGGGAGGGAGAAGAAAGAGUGGAAGAGAGAGAGAGGGGGGAGAGGAAGAAAGGUCUUCGGCGGCCGUCGAAGGCCAUCUGACAUCUUGCCAAGGUCGGUAUGCACGGAGGGAGGGAAGGAGAGAGAGUGUGGGAGGUCCUUAUCGGGCUCUGAAGGCUGUCAAAGGCCUCUAGACGGAUGGCACCUCCGCCGUGAGAUCUUCGAUGGCCGACGAUUCCACGCUGAUGGGCCUGAGGGCGGUUGAGCCAGAGGAGGGCCUCUGCGGCUCUGCCCCCUUCAUUUUCGAACAGGGGUUCGCCUUUGUUUUGGAUUUUUUUUUGAUUUUAACGUGUAAAUUUGGCUUUGCAAAUUUUUAUUUUUAUUUUUUAAAAUUUCAUUUGAAGUUAGCAAACUAUUUGCCGAUUUCAUCCGGAUAUUUUUUUUUUAAAAAAAAAGAGUGAAGUAGGCAACAUUGUUGUCAAUUUUGCCCAUUAAAAAUCAAAAAUAAAAUCGAAACAGGGGCAAACUCUUGUUUCUAAUCAGCCAUCCUCCGCGUUCCUCAGCCACCCUAUGCUCCCUUCGCACUACCUCGCCGGCCAUCAGAGAGCUCUCCGGCGGCAUCUCUCCCCCUCCCUUUUCCUCUCCCUCUUUUCCUCUCCUUCUCACCCCCUCUCUUUCUCUCUUUCUUCUCCCUCUCCCUUCUCUGGCUUGUUGUCAGGUUGCACCGGUUCGGUCCGGUAUGGACCCAUGUCGAGCCAUACCAACGGUCGGCCGGCAUGGGCUCCGGUAUCGAGUCCGUGAACAUUGGUUUAGGCUUGAGAUUUGUUGAAGACCAGAUUGAGUUCUUAUCGAGUGGGUUAAAAGUCGAAACCACUUGGAUUGGGAUCAAACUGAAAUUGAUCCAAACUUACCCUAUUAAGGCCUAGUUAAAUUUCCUUAAAAUUGUAAGGCAAAGAUUAGGGUAAAAUCAUUGGUCAGCAACCUUUGAAGUCCCAGCCCAUCGCUAGGUACAGAUUUUUUAGCCCAAACUUAGGUUUUUUUCAGCUACCUUUGGUGGGUCACCCCAAGAAGGAUCUCUUCGCACCAGUUUUUCUGGCAACUUUGUUGCAAGAUCAAUGUCUUUGGGAAUACUCAAUGGCUAUUAUUGGGAAAGUUAAUUGGACUCUAUUCAGAAAUUAGGAUGUUAAUCUAAGUAAAUAUGGGGAUUGUGGUUUCAUUGGCAAAUUUUGAUUCAACACUAGAUGUCUUAGUUUAAACCUUGAAGAUUCCCUCUUAUAUUUGGUGAAUAACACCUUAAAAUCAAAUGUUGUACAUGCGGCCCACCCCUACCCCCCCAACCUGCCGAAUACAAAUAAAAAAGGGAGAAAAAAAAUCCAUUGAGCCUAUGAACGCUUGCAACAUGUUUGGCCUUUGAGAUUUGAUUGCUAUCAUCAAGCUAUUGGUCGCCUCUAUGCUAGAAGUCUGAACUCGGACAUUUUAAACCUGAACUAAUAUUGUUUCUUUUAUUAAAUUGGUGUCCAAUUAUUAUGUCAAAGGACGCUUGACAUGUUUGCCUUGAUCCAUUCAUUUUUCAAUUUUUCUUAUAUCAAGUUUUGGUGCUUAUUUUGUGCAUUAUUGUUUUUGCCAAGACCUUAUCCACUUUGAAUUAGAUUUUUUAUGGGGGUGCUGUUCACUUUCUUGUACCUUCUUCUAGGUUUUUGAGUAUACAUAGAAAACCUUUUUCUUAGUUAUUUCCUAUUGUACUUUUGAGAUUUUGUUUGUUAGUGUGGAUUUCCUUAAAUUUGGUCCUUGAAGGUUGGUUCUGGGACAUUUUUUACAUGGUUCUCCACUUCUGCUGCUUCACCUUGUUUGAAUAUUUUGGGAUCUGGAGUUUAUUGUUUUGCUUUUUCAUGGGGCACUUAAUAUACUUUUCUCUUCUUUUGUUCUAUCUACUGUUUUACAGUGAAAAUUGUUAUUAAUGUGAUCUUGGCAUUAGAAAUUUAAAAUGGUUCAUUAUGUUCUUUGCAAUUCAAAUUAGUAAUAUAUUGUUUCAAAGCAUAGUGCCAAUUGGGGUAGGGAUAAGAUGAUGUGUAUAGAAUGAUGAUCAGGGUCAUGUUGAAUAUUGUGGAUGUAGAUCCGGGACAGCUAUCAUUCCAACAUUUGGUGAGGUGGCAAUCUUCCACCUGAUGAUUGCACAACAGAAUGUAACUAAAUAAAUUUUACUUUUCCAGGAACUGGUUGAGGUAACAGGUAUGUCAUGUUCGUAAAAUUUUGUAGGUUGACUUAUCAUGGAUUGAUUUUGUUGAAUUUGUGGUGUGUUUGUCUUUUUUUUUAAAUUAAAGCAACUUUGUUAUACCGUCUUCCGGCAUAGACGGAACAAAAACAAUUACACCCUUAUCUCUCUAUCUCUCACUUGCUCACUGUCUCCUCUCCCUCUCUCCUAAAUUUUCUGCUUGGAGUUUCAUCAAUAUCUAUCUGUCUAUCUAUCUGAAAGAAUGUAUUUAAUAUCUUAGAAGACUUUGGAGUAAUAAGAAAUAGGAGGGUGAUCGAUGUAUGGCCUUCCUAAUUGAAUAGUGUGGUUAUUUUGCAGUUGAUAUUUGUACAUAACACUUAUGUAGCAUAAAAAUGAACUAAGAACAGUUUGUGAGCUAUAAUUUGUGUUUAUUGCUUUAUUACCUAAUAUUUUUUUUGAACACUGUGCAUUGUUUCUAAUUGCUGAAGCUCAUGUUAUUGUACACUAAGUACAUCUUUUGCUCCUUUUUAUCAAGCUAAAAGGCCUGUCUAGACUUUGAGAGUUUCCUCCAUUUGCUAAUCACUGCCACUAUUCAUUGUUCCUUUCUCAUCAACCUCUAUGUGGUGAUAUCUCUGCUAGACUCUUUCAUUGAAGUCUUACAGAAAUCCAAUGAUAAUAGAUUUGUCAGAAACAAAUAACUGUUGUCUUGCUAUCUAUCCAUCUAUCUAAAAAAAUGUAUCCAAUAUCUUAGAAGGCUUAGUAGCAAUAAGAAAUAAGAGGGUGAUAGAUAUAUGGUCUACCUAAUUGAAUAGGGUGGUUAUUUUCUGUGCUUAUUGCUUUAUUACCUAAUAUUGUUGGAUUCUUUGCAUUGCAAUGUUUCAACUUUCUGAAACGCAUAUUGUCAUCUGCCAAAUUCAUCUUAUGCUCCUUUUUGUCAGUCUCAGAGGCCAACCAAGGCUCUAUAGAGGUUGCUUCAUUUGCUAAUCACCAGCACUAUUUGUUGUGCCUUACUCAUCAACUUCUGUGUGAUGAUACCUCUGUUAGACUUUCUCAUUGGAGUCUUAUAGAAAUCCAAUGAUAAAUGUAGUUGUCAGAAACAAACAUGUGUUAUUUUGCAUGUUUGUAGGGGACUCAAUUAGAAGUUGGGCAUCCCAUUCUUUUAGUGAGAUCCAAGAAUCACCUUUCCCAAAAUCUUCAGUACUUUUAGAAUCUUUCUUUUGGAUAUUCCAUGGUUUGUACAGGAGGUUGUGAACUUUAUUUCUGGUAGUUUGAGAUAACUGGCCUUCCUCUUUGCAACCAGCUGGGUGAUCCAUCCUUCUGUAGAAUCCCAAAUCCGUUUUUUACCCUAUCUAUUCAUAUUUUACAAGAUCAGCAAAUUUUUGUCCUUUGAGAUUUGUUGGUUCACUUUUUUUGACUAUGGUCAUAAUUUUCUUAUAUGUUUUUUACAUUUGUUUGUUCUGUUUCACUAUCAUAUCGUUAUUUAUGUUUGAUGCAAUUUGUGUUCUUAGGAUUCAAUUUAGCUUUUGGCUCUUCAUUUCUGCCUUCUUCAUGAGAACCUUAAUUAUGGACUUCUGUAGUUCAUUAUUUUGGGAACUUGGGUCUAUUUCUUGCUCUUGCUUAAUCCUUUUAUGUUGAUCUCCAUUAUUUUUGUCCAAAGAGCAAAUAUUUUACCUAUUGGUUUUCUGCUAUUUAAUAUCAUCUUCUUUCUGUUUAUAUGCUUGGUUUAUCAUCUCCCCAUAUUCAUCAAUUUAGGGCUUGGCUUAACCUUAUCACUGACAGUCCUUAGUGUGAUGCUUGCUUAUGACAGCCUGCUGACCAUGGACAUCUAGUUUAUUUGUGGAUGCAAUCUGGUCAUGUGGUACUUAAUAUGGUACUUAAUCCAUGUCUAGAAGCUCAUGGAAUCAAAAGACUAUAUAUCAUAAUACGUUCAGAGCAUUACAUGGAAAUGUGGUUGCAUUUUCAAAUUAAUUGGUCAUGGUGCCUUAAGUGAUAAGUGUUCAUUCUUUAUUUAACUACACAAAAGAAAUAUUUUCAGACUUUCGAUGAAACUGACAUGAGGAAUUUUUAAAAUGAACAAGUCUGUCCAGACUUGGGAAAAGCUAAAUGAGCCAGCAAAACUGGAAAACCUAAAUGAAGUCUAAUUGCUCUUUUAAGAAAGUAAUAAGUAUUGUAUUUUUCUUGUUUUUCUCAUGGACUCAGGCCUUUUGAGGACCAAUAAAGGACUAAAAGACUUCAAUAGAAUAGAUAAGAGCCUGGCUUAUUGUCCGGAGGUCGUAGGGAGUCUAGAAUGAUUGAAGACUGGAUAAGCGGUUAAGGCAGUACAAGGAUUUCAAAGCUAUUAAUCUCAUUCCCAUGUACUCCAUUUAAGAAAUAAUUUCAAAUAUAGCAGUAUGCGGCAUCUAACAAAUGAAGGCUUAGACUUGUAGGUUAGGUAUUACUUGGUGAUUCAAAUUUAGACUACUUUGGCUCUUCCUUUGGCUGGCCAGACUGAAUUCUUAAUUAUAAAAGAUUAUUCAUGUCCAAGAUCUUGAAAACUAUCGACUCAAAUUUUCAAAUUUAAAGUAUUUAUCACUUCUUUCUGAUUUGGCAUAGGUUAAAUCUAGAUCUCACGCACACUGUCACGAUUGCUAAGAUUGAAAGCCACACACACACUGUCACAGUUGCUAAGAUUGCAAGUGCACGCACACUGUCACAGUUGAUAAGAUUGCGCAUGUGUGCGCACACAUACACGCACACACACUGUCACAGUUGCUAUGAUUGAAAGCAAGAAGGAAUAUAUUACCAUGCCCCCUCACGCACACUGUCACAGUUGCUAAGAUUGAAAGCAACAAUAGAUUACCAUGCGCCCCACUCACACCCACCACACCCCCCAACCCCCCUCCCCCCCCACCAACACACACACACACACACAUUCUUUCUUUUAAAUUUUUCAACAGCCAAGUUCACAUAACUGUCACAGUUGCUGAGAUUGAAAGCAAGAAGGAUUGUUGAUUUGUGCGGAGAGAUAACAUGAGUUGUAAAAUAACAUAAUGUUAUAUCCAUUUCCUUUUCCAAUUUAAACUUCAAGGUAUUUAGUGCUCGUCUCAUCAUUUUAGUCAUGUCGCUGAUUAUGCAUUCAACAUCUACCGGGCAUUGGAAGGGGUUGGAAGUUACGGGAUUGCCGGAGUCAAUGUUUAAUCACUUGGUUUUCCUAGAACUAGUUUAUGUUGCAAUGUUCUCUUGUAGUUAAGCAUCAUCUCUUGAUGCCAGUCAGAUGGCACACUGAGGAAGCUGACUUUCCACUAGAUACUGGUAAAUGUUGCAUAUUAUGAGCUUCACCAUAUUCUGCCCAGCAUUUUGCUCAGAGGCAUGUAGAACCAAUCACCAAGGGACUUUACUAGGCCCUAGCCUAUGGCAAAAAGCUUAUUGUUGGAUAAAGUGCAUGUUGUACGUUAUUGGUGGCUAGACAUCUUAUAUUCACCAGGAAAUUUCAGGUGGGAAAAUGAAGGAUUUGUUGAAGCAUGCCUCGGACGAAGAUUUCUUAUGAACAUUUUGGAAAACCUGAUGGCCAUUUUCUUUUCUUGUGCGCGCGCGCGCGCGCGUUUGGUUUUUAAUUCCAAUGCAACCUAUGGUCAAGCGUGAUGUAUGUAACAGUAUGCAACUGGACCCAAGUUUCCAAGUUAAAACAGAACUUUGGAUACUUGUGUCCCCUGGAUAUUGUCGGGGGUUGCUCAUUUUCUCUUGGACCCAUUUCCUGCUAUUAGACAGUUUGAAAGGAAUGUUUCAACUUUGAAGGUUGCGCAAACAGUAUGAUCAAACAAUAUUGUCUGGGUUAAUAUCAAAGGAUAAGGCUAUGAGUUUUUCAUUUGUGCAGUCAUGGUAAGAUUUAUAAACAAGUUAACCGUAUAAGCACAAUACUUCGUCUGUGAAUGGUUUGAAUUGCCUUCCCUUCAAGCUCUGAGUCGAGCAAUGCUCUCCUAUGGAUAGACUUCAUGGACCUGAAAGGCAUGCUGAGAUCUGGGAGUUUGUUGCAUAAGGUGUAAUGGUGGUGUUGUGGCACAGCAUUUUUUCCAGGACAACGGUAGACAUCAGUCCGGAAUUGGAGCCUUUGCACAAACUACUGCUUGUUUGUUUGAUAUGAUUAUUUAUAUUCUUCCGUAUGUGAUUCGUGGACGGAAAAAAAUUAUAUCUAUUGCACCAACAAAAAGCAUCAGAAACCAAAUAAGAUGACAGCUUGAAAAUCAGAAACAUCAUAAUUAAUUUGGUUCAUCUAUUUAUAAUUCAAACUUGAGGUUCGUUAGAUAUAUUUUAUUCAUAAACAGCAUUGUUUUUUAACUCAAAAAUCCCGAAGCAUCUUACUAGGACUAGAAUUCAUGGCAUGAUAAAUUAUGUUACCGGUUCCCCAUUCUUCAUGGCACGUGUGCGUGAUUGCACCGGUACCAGUAGUUGGAAAGUUUGUAUGUUAGUUGUCACAUCACUGCCCUGAUAAUAACUAGCUCUAACUUUACCUUGCUUAUGAUACUCCUUGAAUAUUUUCACAGGGAAAUUGGCAUCCACCAGUCUUAAAUAGGUGUGGGGCAUCUCAUGACCUUGAAGGGAAGGAAUUGCAGAAUAAUACCUCCGCAAAGAAGAUCAGAAAGGAAUUAUGAGUUGGAUUUGAAAGUUAGAUCAACUCCCAACAACCUAGAAUCACAAAAAUUUAAAAUAUGAACCAAGGAUUAAAUGGAAAAGAAGAGAUUUCACAUUGAUCAAAAGCAUCACCGACAGUUUACCAAGCCCACUUAAUCAAAUGUUUACCAUAUUAGUCAUUUACUCAUUUUGCCAACCAUAGAGGCUCCAUAUAGAACAAGGGGGCGGAAAAUACAAUAGUUAAGCUUUUAUGUUUCUCCUUCGAACAAUAAUUAGAGGAACAUACUAUCAAGACACACAAGAAACGGACAAAAACACAUUGAAAGGAAGAGCUUUGAACAUGGAGUAAAGAGAAUUAACUAUGAAGUCAUCUCAUAAUAGAAAUACAGAUGAGUAAAGCCCACAUAUUGCACAUCAAUAAUCCUCCCUCUUUUCUUCUGCUGCUGCUGCUGCUGCUGCUUUUCCUUCUCUGCUUUCCCUAGUGCAAGAUCUGGUGCCAGGCACCAGAUCAAAGGAAGAAGAACAACAAGAACAAGAAGAAGGUUCUAAUACCCAAAGUAAGAGAUUACAUGAAAAUUAGGAAACAGCCCUUGGAAUACUCAAUCUGGUGGAGUGUGGUGGGAUGAUGGCAUGGUGGUGGUGGCCAGCCAAGUAAGGCUUCUCCAAAUAGGCGAUAGUUGGUGAAGGGCUCACUUGCAUGAACAUAUAGUUCCCUGCAAACAGCUCCCCCACGUAAGGCCUCCCUUCCUUCAAUCUUUUCAGCACCUUCCUCACUGCAGCCCCCACCACCUUGGCUUUCCUCCUUAACAGCCUCCUCAGCCCCGCCACUCGGACCCUCGGCCUCCGCCACCGCCUUGCCCCGCUGUCGAGCCUCAGCCAGCUCCUCCUCCCCCUCCUCCUCACCGCCAGCACCCCUUCUUCUGUUUCAUCUUCUUCCAGCCCUGGGGGGAGUUUUCUUAGUCUUUGGUAAGAGAACUUGGUGGAGGAAGCCAUCUUUCACAGUGGGAGAUGAGGCAGGGUUGGUUGAGUUGAUGGGUGGUGGUGGUGGUGGUGGGGAGGGUUAACCCCUUUUUCAUGGGAAUUCCCAUGCCUUUUUAUGCUUUCUUUAGCCAUAAAGAGGGUCCAGUGGAGUUGGGGGAAGCUGUUAGGGUUAUUUAAUGCUGGAUGGAGUUGCGUGGUGGAUUGGGAGCAAGGGUGGAACCCAUGCACUUGGUUGCCAGCUGUUGGCUAAUUCCCUCAUUCUCACGCCACGAAGGUGGUCCCUUUUAAGUGACACACCACCAGGCAGUUCAGCACUCUCACGCAAGUCUUGUUUUCUAGUUAGAAAGCAUGGCUCCAGUAGACAAAAAAAAAAGAGGAGUCUUCCUGUCCAGAUAUAUAUGAAGGUUUUAACCCGAUAUAGUGGACUGGUUGUGAGUCGUUUGGGUAGAUGGUGAGAUAACGCAUUGAAAGUUACAGGGCAUGCAGGCUUCUAUUUUUUUUUUUUUUUUUUUUUUUGGGUAAAAAGCAUGGAGGCUUGUUUCGUGGGUCUAGGAUGAUAAGCAAAGGCUGGUACUUGGCAAUUCCAUCCUGUUGCCAGUCUCUGUCAAAAUCAAAUUUUUUCAAGAUAUGUUCACCAGGAGGUUCAGUGGUUCAUGUCAGAGGACAAUAAUUUUUCCAUUGAUUUUUUCAGAAAGUUUUUGAUGUAGAAAUUAUAUAGUGAUAUUCAAAGAGUUCUGUGAUCACAGGGCACGGGAGGUGGCUGCUUGAAGCAGCGUAACCUAAUUUAAGUCAUGAGAAGUUAAACGGAAUCAAGAGUUUAGCUUCAGCAUAAUUUAAAUUCAUAUAUUUGCGUUCUCGUGGUUAGUUUUGUCGAAUGUAACUGGAUAAGGGCCUUCUGCUAGCUGAAUGUUCAACGUGACCAAUUUGGACCAGAGCUAACUCAGAAAUAAAGCACUAUAUAUAUAUAUAUAUAUAUAUAUAUAUAUAUANNNNNNNNNNNNNNNNNNNNAUAUAUAUAUAUAUAUAUAUAGACUCUCCUCCGAUUGGCCGGAUUCCAAUAUACAUUUGGUUGGGUCCUUGUUUAUUGGAUCGGCAUGCAUCUCAAAGCUACCCUUAAAAGCUAACGGAGGAGUUUGAGAGGCCAUCAGCUGACUUGGCAUUGUUUAAAAAAAAAAAAAGCGCGACAGAGAGAAAGCACAUAUUGAAUGUGAUGCGAUGGCAGUCCACAAGCGCACCUCCGUCUCUUGAUCUCCUCUCUCUCUCCUUUUUUUCUGCUCCCAUCUCUCUCCCUUUUAAAAGCCAUCUCUCUUCCCAAACCUUCUUUUCCUCUCUCCCAUUCAAAACCCUACCUAACCCAAAACUCCCACUCACUAUCGGCUCUUCCCCAAUCCUCAACUCUCACCUUCUUCUCCUCUCUCUCUCUCCCUCUCUCCCAACUCUUACGUUUUCCUCUCUCUUUUUCUCUCUUCCCCCUGUCAUCGGCUGUUCCCCAACCUCCAACACCCACUUGCUGCCCUCAAAUUUUCUUCUCAUCCCCAACCCCAAGUUCUUCAACCCACUCGUCGUUGGCUCUUUUUCAACCUUUACCCACUGUCGGCUCUUCUCCAACCCCUACCCACUGCCCCACCCACGGUCGGAUCUUCCACCAACGGCCGGGUCUUUCCCAAACCCCAACUCUCACCCUUCGCCUCCACCCAUCGCUGUCUUCUUUCUUUCCUAUUCGUCAUCAACUAUCGCCACCUCCAACCAAUGCCACCACCAGCCUAUACUGCCCCCAAUCGAUGCCGCCAUCAGGCUCCACCGCCCUCAACCAUCACUUCCACCAUCUGGCGCCACCCUCAACCGUCGCCGACACCAUCCGUCGCCGUUGCUGCUAUCCGCUGUUGCUCCUAACUGGCACCAGCACCACUCGCUGCCGCAUCCAAUCGGUGCUGCCACCACCUGCCGCCACCCCCACAUAUAGCCAGAGGUCCACCUCUUCCAUAUCAGGUGAGCAUCUUCCUAAUUUAUUUCCUUCGUAUCAAUAGCUAGAUAAAUAUUAAAUCUUCUUAGUUGAGGCAUGAAAGAGAAUCAUAAUAUCUCUAAUAGAUCUAAGUCAUGAUCAAUCAUAAGAUGAAAAUAUUUAGAGAUACAAGAACAAAUGAACUAAUGACACAUAUCUUUCUGUCGUGACAUCAAUCUCAGUGUUUAAUAAGUAUUCAUAAUCUUUCUUGCUAGAUUGUGAGUAAUGCUGUGCAUGGUGCGUUGCAAUCUGCAUGUGCAGAACAGUGUAUGUUAAUCAUUCUUGUGGACAAUACCUAUUUAUCAAUGAAUGGCAAAUGGAUUUCUCAUCUUUGCAAUAGUAGGACAGUUAUUCAGGACUUUUAAAAUUGGUCAAAAGAGAAACCCAAGAUUAAUAUAGGGGAGAGAAUGGUCACUAUAAACUUGUUGAUCUCACGAUUGAUUUUAAUGAUCGUCAAAUUUUAAAUAUUUAUGAAUCUAAUCAUGUAUUUUAAGAAUGAAUAUAGAUCUUUUCAGAUGUUUAAAUUGAAAAAAUAAUCCAUGAAAAAGAUCUUCUCAAGAUUCACUAAGUCAAAGAAAUUAAAAUUUUUUUUGAGUUUCUGACUUAGUGAAAUUGACCUCAGAGCAAAAGAAGCCAACCCCCUCACUGAAACUGGCAUUAAAAUGAUCAAUUUCAAAUUUUAGGAGGAUUCGAGUCAACCCCAAGAAGAUUGAAGUCGACUCUGGUAUACUGGGACAGCACUGGCACGUAGCCGAGCCAACUCGAAAAAGAUUCGAGUCAGCUUUUUUGGAGAAACAGAAAGUUGAUUUUUUAGAUCCUGUAGUCGAACUGACUCGAGAUUAGUUCGAGCUGACUCGAAGGCAAUUAAAGUCGACCCCAAGAGAAAAGGAGUCGACCCCAAGCUCGGAACAGACUGCAACGGCUAGUUUUCUGUACUUCUCCAAUGGACUGAUUUUUACUCCAACGAUUAAUUCAACCCAUCUAAUCAUCCAAUCUUAACCUCCAACCAGUGUGAAGCCUAUUUAAAGGUAGAGAAUCAAAAGAGAAAGGAAAGAAGUGGGUUAAAAAGGAGAGAAUUUUUCAAAAUUGUGAGCUGCAUUGAAUAUCCAAGAAUAAGAGAGAAAAAGAGAAGAAUCAAACUUCAAAUUCAGAGAGCAUUCACAAGAGAUCUUCUACAACAUCUCAAGAAUCCUCUCAGCAUUCAAAGAAGAGUGGUCAAGCUUCUAAGAGAGCAACGAUUCAAUCUCUUCUUCAGGCACAAAAGAGUUUUUUUCUUGUUUUUAUUUUGUACUAAAAUUUUUAUACUUGUACUUUGAAUUCUUUAUAAGUUUUUUUGGAAAAAGAAACUUGGGGAUAAGGCUGUUCCAAGCUCGUAAUUAGAUGAGUGUAAGAUUUUAGUUGGUUGGUCCGAAAAAUCAACUAGAUUGUUAGUGAGUCCGAAAAACUAACGGUGUAAGAUUUUGAUCGGUGAUCUCCAAAAAUCAACUAAAUUUUGUUUAUAGGCUCGAAAAAAUAAAUACACUGUAAUUAAGGAAGGAUUAUAGUGAAAUUCUCAAAAAAAGCUUGGAGAGUGAACGUAGGUACGAAUUGCAUCGAACUACUAUAAAAUCUAUAUAUUUGUGAUUAUGUAUUGCUCUCUUACUUUUUUUGCCUUACUUGCUUUACUUACUUUUAGUUUUUAUUUUUUAUUGGAUUAUUUAUUGUAAAAUUUUAUUGAUCAUUUGCUUUUGGUGUUACAUAUAUUGAUCAUAUCACAAGCACUUAGUUAAGUUUUAAAUUGAAAAAUAUAAUUAUUUAAAAAAUAAAUUUGAUUAAAAAUUUUUAAACAACCCAAUUCACCCCCUCCUCCUCUCUUAGUUUGCUACCUCUAGGCAAUAAAACUUUUAACAGCUCUGUUAUAUAUUUUUUUAUCUGCUUUUGCUUUGUACAAGAUGCACAAUGACUUAGGCACAUGUUGCAAUUUCUAUAGAGUACUAUUUCUAUAAAAAAAUAUGAUCUGGAUAUCAUGAUUAGCAUAAUGUAAUUUUAAUAUUUUAAUGGCUAAGGUGAUUGUUUUAGAGACCCCCCUUUUCUUUUAUAACCUUUAUUUUAACUAAACUACUAAGACAACAGCCUGUAAUAUGGUUAUAAUAAUUGUUAGAUAACAUUCAUUAAUUAAAAAUAUUAUUAUAAAUUUAAAAUUUCUUUCAUACUCAAGUGAUAUCAGUGUGUUAUCUUCUUCAGCCUCUCAUAUGUCACCUUCUCCCCUUCAAAUGUGUCCAUGGAAGCAUCAAACUAGUGUCCUUUGCCGACGCUCUAGGACUGUGCCCUCUAUCAGAACCUUAACAUUUUGGUUUUUUGACUAUCCUAAUCCUUUUUUAGUAUUUGAGUGUAGUUGAAUAUAGUAGAAUAUAUUGUAUUAUUCUCCGUAUGAUAUUCCUAACUAAUGCAAUUUAUUUUGUUUUGUGUAGAAGUUUUAAUGUCUCAACAAAGUUCAAGUUGUCAGAGUAGCUCAUGUUGGCUUGAUUAUUCGAACAAAAGAUGCCAUUGUGGUCGAUUAACAUCAAUUAAAAUCUUAAUUCACAAAAAAUUCCACACAAGUUGUAUUAUAGUUGUGAAGAACAUCAUUUUGUGGAUUGAUGUUUGCCUAUAAAUGAUCCAUUGAGAACUCAACCAUCGAUUUCAGUGGAUGAUUCGCUUCAAGAUAUAAGAAAGAAAAUUAGUGAUUUAAAGAUGGAGUCCAAAAAGUUGUAUUGUAAAAUUAAAGAUUUAGGUGAGAGUAGUGCUAUGGCAAAUAGAAUUCUGUUUGGAAUGAUAGCACUAUUUGUUGUUGGAGUCCUGCUAAUGCUAAAGUGAAUAUUGUAGGAAAACAUGUUAUUACAUUGUACAUUGGAGUUAAUUUUGUAUGGUAUGAUUUUAGUUAUACUAUAAUGAAGUGUUAAUGCAAAGAAUGACUUGUAUCAGUUCCUUCUAUAUCAUGUAUUUUAUGGAGAGUCUGAUGACGAGAUGACAGAUUAUAAUUACAGUGCUCAUGUGUCGAAGUUACGUGUCAGAUAUGCUAUGUAAAUGAUCGUGAAGGAUCGUGAGAUGGGAUUAUCAUUGUGAUAUCUAGCCCUAAAAUCCUACCCCCUUGCACGAAUCUUAGGGCAUGAAAAAGAAAAUAAAAAAAAAAUAAAACAGAAAAAAAGAAAUGUUGAAGACUCCUACUAGGAGUCUUCUUCCAUGCGAGCCCAUCAGAGAGGAAGACAAAUCCGAAAAAGAUUCAGCCUCCUCUCCACCCUACAAAUCCCCUCCUCUCUCCUUCAAAGCCAUCCAUGAUGAACACCGACCUUCUCCCUCUCCGUUCUCUUCGAAUUCUUCCAUUAAAGCCACGAAUGCUCUCAUUGUGUUUGCCUCAAAUCCUUACUAGAGAUCUCACUGAAGUUUGAGGUAAGCUCCGGCCCUCCUUCCUCUCUUCCUUCUUUUUUUCAUGGUGUCAUGCACCCCCGUCGGCUGUUGGAUUUGUCGAAAAACUCACAAAAAGCAAGAACCAUAUUUUUUUCUUUAUUUGAUCAAACUUUGUUCUCCCUUUUUCGGCCACCGAUGCCGUCAUUUGCAGCACCUCACCUCUAGGUCUAGAUCCCCACCUUUCUGCCUGUCUUCUUCGAAGGUCAUGGCCGUCUGUGAUUGGUCAAUGAUCAGAGAAAAUUCAAAGAAAGGGGCAAGCCCCUAUUUUUUUUGAAGUUUUAUGGUUUUCUUUUGUUGGUUGGCCGCUUGCCAUUGGCCCUCCUUUGCUCCACCGCCAUCGGCCACUUGUUGUUAUAGCCUACUGCUGGUCUUCCAGCUAGGAACCACCACUCGUGUCCCUCCUCUACUCGGCCAAGAAAAAGAAGAAGAGAAGAAAAGGAAAGAAAAGAAAAGAAAAAGGAAAGAGAGAGAAGGGAUCUCUCUCUUAUCUCUCUCUCUUCUGUAGGAUUUUUCUUUCACACCAUCUUUCUCUCUCUACUUAAUCCAUAGACCCCAAUAUAAACUCAAAAUAAUUUUUCUAAAGAGGUCCAGCAUCGCUUCGAUAUCCAUGCAAGAUGUCGGACCCCAUCCCAUUCAUGUCAAAUAUCUUUAAAAUUCUCUAUUGAUGAACCAUGCUGAUUGAUCUUGAUCUUGAUUCUAGUCUAUACUUCAUGAUUUUUUGAUUGAGUCACUUAGAUUUAAUCUUCAUCUGAAAAAUUUUAAAUUAUCCCAGCAUCCAGACUGCCUGUCGAACUGACCAUUCGAUCUAUAGUCUUCUUUCUUUAUGAUUGAAUUAAUAAAUAAAAAUUAAUGAUGCUUUUAAUAUAUUAAAUAGAUUUGAUAAAUUCAUCUAUCAAAGCUUGAAGGAUUAGGAUGAAAAAGAUAAGUAAUCUCGAUACUUCUUACUUACUUUUAAAAUUAUUGACUAUUUUAUUAUGAAAAAAAUUAUUCUAUAUUUUUAUAAAAUAAGAAUCAAGUAUAUAUAUUAUAAAAUUUAUGAUUCAUGAUAAAAUAAUAAUUUAUAAAUAUUUUAAUAUGAAUAAUUUUUUAUGAAAUAUGAACUUCAUAUUUAUAAAAUAUAUGUUUUGUUAUGAAAAAAUGAUUUCACAAUUGUUUUACUGUUAAAAGUUAUUUUUGGAUCAUAAAUUUUAUGAAAUUAUCUAGUAUCUUAUUUAUGCAUGAUUUAAAAAAAAAUGAUUUGAUGAAAUAUGAUUUAAGAAUGCUUAUCUUAAGGAAUAUAGAAAAAAGCUCUCAGAUAGCUAUGUAUGACUCUGCCUAUGGAUAAUAGUAAUUGACAUAUGAGACAUAUGAUCCUAUCAAUGGAUAAUAGUAUGUGACAUACAAUCCUAUCAAAAGGUGAUAGUAGUUGGUAUACGAUCCUGCCAAAGGGUGAUAGUAGUUGGUACAUGAUUAUGGCCUUAUCACGGGUAUAAUAGUGACCUUAGUUUUAGUCUGAGAUAAUUAUUAAAAAAUAUGACAUGAUAAAAGGACAAAUAAUUUAUGACUUUAUUGAUAAAGUUAAUAUGAUUUAUAAAUUUAUGAUUGAUGGUAAAAUGAUAUUUGAAACUAUGUUUACGAAAAUUACAUAAUUUAUAUGUAUGCAAGUAUGAUUAUGAAAGUUUUAUGUUCCAAUGAUCAUCAUUUUCUUUAAGUGAUUUAUUGAGAUAUAUAUAAACUUAUGCUUGAUUUGGAUAAGAUAGUGUAAGGUUUACUUACUGAGCUGGUGUAGCUCAUAUCUUUCUUUUUUUCUUUUUCUAUCCAGACAAAUAAGGUUAAGAAGGAAGGAUGAUCUAGACUAGAGGAUUUACACCAGUGAGCAUAGAGAUUUACACUUGAAAUUGAAUUUAUAGGAUUAUUAUAGACUUGUAAUCAACUACUGAUGAAAUUUGAGACAUGGGUUUGGUAUUAUCUUUUGGGUUUAGUUACUCUGUAUCAAUAUUGGUUUAUUUACUUGAUAAAUAAUGGAAUUGAAUCUUUUAUUUUUGAUGGAUUUUAGCUGAUUAUGAUUGAUUGACUUCGUGUUAUCGUGGGCUCCAUCCAUUGGUAGCAUGACCGUAUUAUGUUUCAGAUUUAAGACAUGACAUUUUAUGAUAUCAGAGCAAUAUAUUUGAUCAUGGGUAGACUUAAAGUCUAACAAUGAGUAGAUAGGUCUCAUUUAGCUAGAUCAUGUUUAAUUAAAUAAGAAUAGAUAAGUUUUCUUAAAGUUUUCAUUGCUUAUUUAAGAAAGUUAAUUAAUGCUAGUAUUUCUUUUAUCUAGGUGACAAUGAGCAAUAGAGAGAAUGAAGUCUCGACGAAUCCUGCCAAUAGAAAUAGAGGAGCAAGAAGGAUUAUAAGAAGAAAUACCAGUCAAUCGAUUGAAUAGGUCCCUAAUGCACCGACUACUCAUGCAGACAUUGCUGGAGUAUGCCACGUAGUGGCCCAACUUAUUCAACAAUAGCAGACAUAAGUCGCUCCUCAAUUUGCACCAUCUUUAGAGUCAUAUUACAAGAGGUUUAGAAGACUUAAUCUAUCACUAUUUGAGGAUGAAUCUGACCCUCUGGUUGCAGAGACAUGGAUUCGAGAAAUGAAAAAGAUGUUUGAUGCACUAUAGUAUCCUGAGGAUGUGAAGGUUAGGCUAGCCAUUCCUAUGCUAAAAGAAAAUGUUGAGUUUUGAUGGGCUAUAAUAAAGGCUGUAUAUGAAAAUAAUGAUAAUUAAUUGACAUGGGAGGAGUUCAAAAAGAGAUUUUAUGAUCAGUAUUUUUCUGAGUCAGUGAGAUUAAAGAAAAUGAGUUCUUGGAUUCAAGGCAAAAAGAUGAUAUGAUAGUACUGGAGUAUGCAAACAAAUUCAAUGAGUUAAAUCGAUUUUACCUCUAGCUUAUAGAGUCUGAAAGAAGCAAACCAAAUAGAUUUGAGCAUGGUUUAGGAUAUAAAAUUUACUCUUGUUUAUCUUCUCAUAUUUUUAAUGGCUACAAGGAUAUAUUAGAACGAGUUGUGAAAGUUGAAUCAGAUAUUAAAAGAUCGAAACAAGAAAGAAAAAAUAGAAAGAGGUCUAGACCAACUGGGACUCGAAGUGACCAAUAUGACAACUUAAAGAACCACUUUAAUAAGAAGACAGGAACUGAGACUUGUGAGUACUGUGUUAGAAAUCAUAGUGGGCCUUGCUAUAAGAAACUCGAAAUAUACUUUCAGUGCGGCAAGAAGGGACAUUUAGCAUGGAAUUAUCUUAAUAAAAAGAAUGACUCUAAAUCCGUCAAACUCACUGAUCAGAACAAAAAAAAAAUGCACGAGAAUUUGCUUUGAUUGAAUAGGAUGUCAAUACAGAUAAUCAAGUCAUUACAGGUACGAUUCUAGUCAAUCUGUAGAUGUCCAUAUGUUGUUUGAUUAUAAUUUUUUUUAUUCUUUUGUGUCUUUCAAGUUUAACUACACAUUCAAAGAAUUGAAUAAAUUACUAUAUGUGAUCUUUUUACUUAAGAAAAGUUAUUCCCACUGAUGCUUUAUUUAAGAAUUAUGUCAUAAGAAAAUUAGGAUUGACAGAAACUGAUCUAAAAUAUGAUAAAAAUAAUAUGAAGAUAAAGUAUCAUCACUUAUUUAAAAAUAAAGGUAUGUUAAGUUUCGAGGAUGAAACUAUUUUUAAGGAGGAUAGAAUGUGAUAUCCAGUCCUAAAAUCCUACCCCCUUGCACGAAUCUUAAGACAUGAAAAAAAUAAAAUAAAAAUAAAAUAAAAAAAAAGAAAAUGAAGAAGACUCCUGCUGGAAAUCUUCUUCCAUGCGAGUCCAUCGGAGAGGAAGGCGAAUCUGGAAAGGAUUCGGCCUCCUCUCCAUCCUAUAAAUUUCUUUUUUCCUCCUUCAAAGCCAUCCAUGAUGAACACUGACCUUCUCCUUCUCUGUUCUCCUCGGAUUCUUCCAUUGAAGCCACAAAUGCUUUCAUCGUGUUUGCCUCAAAUCCUCAUCGAAGACCUCAUCGGAGCCUGAGGUAGGCCCCAGCCUUCCUUCCUCUCUUCCUUUCCCUCCUUUUCAUGGCAUCGUGCACCCCCAUCGGUCGUCGGAUUUGCUGAAAAACCUAUAAAAAGCAAGAACCCUAUUUUUUUUCUUAUUUGAUCGAACAUUGCUCUCCCUUUUCUGACCACCAAGUGCCAUCGUUUGCAGCGCCUCACCCCUAGGUCUGGACCCCCAGCUUCUUGCUUGUCUUCUCCGAAGGUCAUGACUACCGUUGAUAGGCCAAUGAUCAGAGAAAAUUCAAAGAAAGGGGCGGUUCUCUAUUUUUUUGAAGUUGUAUGGUUUCUUUUGUUAGCCGACCGCUUGCCGCCGGCCCUCCUUUACUCCACCGCCGUCGGUCACUUGCUAUCAUGGUUUGCUGGCGGUCUUCCGACCAAGAACCACCACCCAUAUCCCUCCUUUGCUUAGCCAAGAAAAAGAAGAAGAAAAGAAAAGAAGAAGAGAAGAAAAGUAAAGAAAAGAAAAAGGAAAGAAAGAGAAGGGAUCUCUCUCUUGUCUCUCUCUCUUCUAUAGGAUUUUUCUCUUUGCACCAUCUUUCUCUCUUUACUUGAUCCAUGAACCCCAAUAUAAACUCAAAAUAAUUUUUAUAAAGAGAUCCAGCAUCGCUUUGAUAUUCAUGCAAGAUGUCGGAUCCCAUCCCGACCAUGUUAAAUAUCUUUAAAAUUCUCUAUUGAUGAACUAUGUUGAUUGAUCUUGACCUUGAUUUCAGUCCGUGCUUCAUGAUUUCUUGAUUGAGUCAUCUAGAUUUGAUCCUCAUUUGAAAAAUUUUGAAUUAUCCCAGCAUCCGGACUGUCUGUUGAACUAACCAUCCGAUCUACAGUCUUCUUUUUUUAUGAUGAAUUAAUAAAAAAAAUUAAUGAUACUUUUAACAUAUUAAAUAGGUUUCAUCUAUCAAAGCUUGAAGGGUUAGAAUGAAAAAGAUAAGUAAUCUCGAUACUUCUUACUUACUUUUAAAUUAUUAAUUAUUUUAUCAUGAAAAGAAUUAUUCUAUAUUUUCAUAAAAUAAAGAUCAAGUAUAUGCAUUGUGAAAUUUAUGAUUCAUGUGUAAAAUAGUAAUUUAUAAAUAUUUUAAUAUGGAUGAUUUUUUAUGAAAUAUGAACUCUUUAUUUAUGAAAUAUAUGUCUUGUUAUGAAAAGAAUGAUUUCAUGAUUAUUUUACUAUUAAAAAUUAUUUUUGGAUUAUAAAUUUUAUAAAAUUAUCUAGUAUCUUAUUUAUACAUGAUUUAAAAAAAAAUAUGAUUUAAGAAUACUUAUCUUAAGAAAUAUGGCAAAAGACUCUUAGAUAGCUAUAUAUAGCUUUGCUAGUGGAUAAUAGUAAUUGGUAUAUGAUCUUGCCAGUGGAUAAUAGUAAUUGGCAUAUGACCCUGCUAGUAGAUAAUAGUAAUUGACACACGAUCCUGCCAAUAGAUAAUAAUAGUUGGUAUACGAUCUUGCCAACGGAUAAUAGUAGCUGGUAUAUGAUUAUGAUCUUAUCACGAGUAUAAUAGUGAUUAGCAUUUAGUUUAAGCUAAUUAUUAAGAAGCAUGAUAUGACAAAAAGAUAAAUGAUUUAUAAUUUUAUUAAUAAAGUUAACAUGAUUUAUAAAUUUAUAAUUGAUGGUAAAAUGACAUUAGAAACUAUAUUUAUCAAAAUUGCAUGAUUUAUGCAUGUGCAAGAAUAUAAUUAUGGAAGUUUUAUAUUCCAAUGAUCAUCAUCUGCUUUAAGUGAUUUAUUGAUGCACGUAUAAACUUAUGUUUGAUCUGGAUAAGAUAGUAUAAGGUUUACUUAUUGAGCUGGUGUAGCUCAUAUUCUUUUUUUUUUCUAUGUAGACAAAUAAGGUUAGGAAGGAAGGAUCAUCUAGGUCGGAGGGUCUACGCUAGUGAGAAUAGAGAUUUACAGUUAGAAUUAAAUUUAUAGGAUUAUUAUAGACUUGUAAUCAACUACUGAUGAAUUUUGAGAUAUGGAUUUGAUAUUAUUUUUUGGAUUUAGUCACUCUAAAUUAAUAUUGCUUCAUUUACUUGAUGAAUAAUGGAAUUGAAUCUUUUAUUAUAAUUUAUUUUUAAUAAAUUUUAACUGAUAUGAUUGAUUGGCUUCAUAUUAUUAUGGGCCCCAUCCUUGGGUAGCAUGGCAGUGUUAUAUCACAGAUUUGGGGUGUGACAAUCAUAGUUUGUUUUGUGCUACCAAUGUGACCAUAUUUGUGUUGGCUAUUUGUCUACAUUUAUAAGAAAUUGGUAUUCUAUCGUGAUAUUUGGAUGGGUUGUGAAUCUUUUGUGUAUAAAACUAUAUGAAUUAGUAACAAAUGAAUUAAAAAUUUAUAUUCAAAUUUGUAUUCUAUCAAAAAUUUAUUUACUACAGUGAAACUAUUAUUUUGAUGUAUACAAAUAUUCGGUAACAGGUGAAUAAACUUUAUUUUCUGUGAUUGAUGUAAUGAAUUUUUGGAUAGGUCUGAUAAUUAUUCAGUUCUACUGUUGGUGUGAGAAUUAUUUUUUAAAUAAUUUUAUGUUCGAAGUUAAUCCAGAUCAAUUUGUGCUUAUUUGUAGAGGGAGUAGUUUUGUUUGUGCAUUUACGAUCUUGUUUCUCAUUAUUUUUGAGACUAUUGAGAGGAUAAAUAUGAACUGUCACAGAAUAAACAAAAACUAUCCAUAAUAAACAAUAAGUCCUAUGAAAAUAAAUAAUAAGAGAGGAUGAUAAACAACAAGAGAAGAAGAUAAACACAAAGUACUCCAGAAUAAAUACAAACUUCGUAUAAUAAACAAAAAUUAUGAAAAAUAAAUUCAAAUUCUGAAACGAUAAAUAGAAACUAUCCAAGAUAAAUACGAACUUGGAAUUCAAAAGUUGAGUGAUCCAAGGGUCUACUUAGGAUAAAUAACAAGAGGAGAGGAUAAACACUAAAUCUUGUAGAAAUAAAUAUAAACUAUUGAAAGAUAAACACAAACUUCAAAUAAUAAAUAUAAAUAGGUCCAGGAUAAAUACAAACUACCCAGAUUGCUCUCUACCUUUCAUGAACCUAUAGUAGGAUAAACAUAAAGUACUUCAAAAUAGAUACAAAUUUCGUAUAAUAAACAGAAAUUAUGAAUAAUAAACAUAAAUUCUCGAAUGAUAAACAAAAAUUGUCCAGGAUAAAUAUAAACUCGGAUCAUCCCAUGGACAGUUUUUUUUUAUCAUGGACAGUUUCUAUUUAUCGUCUUUGAGUUUGUAUUUAUUAUGGGCAAUUUCUAUUUAUUAUAUGAAGUUUGUGUUUAUUCUGAAGUAUUUUUUGUUUAUCCUGCCAUGGAUUCAUAGAAGACAGAGAGUAAUCUGGACAGUUUGUAUUUAUCUUGGGUCUGUUUGUGUUUAUUAUUAGAAGUUUAUGUUUAUCCUCUGAUACUUUAUAUUUAUUUUUAUAGGAUUUAGUAUUUAUCCUCUCCUCUUGUUGUUUACUCUGGAUGGAUCUUUGGAUCAUUAAACUUUUGAAUCCCUAGUUUGUGUUUAUCUUGGGCAGUUUCUAUUGAUCACCUCAGAGUUUAUGUUUAUUAUUCGCAACUUCUGUUUAUUAUAUGGAGUUUGUAUUUAUUCUGAAAUAUUUUGUAUUUAUCCUACCAUGGGUUCAUGAAAGGCAGAGAGCAACCUGGACAGUUUGUGUUUAUCCUAGAUCUGUUUAUACGUAUUAUUUAAAGUUUGUAUUUAUCCUCCGAUAGUUUAUAUUUAUUUCUGUAGGAUUUAGUAUUUCUCCUCCUCUCUUAUUGUUUAUCAUAAGAGGGCCCUAGAAUGACCUAAACAUUGAGCUCUGAGUUUGUGUUUAUUUUGGACCAUUUGUGAUCAUCGCCUCAGACUUUAUGUUUAUUAUAUCGAGUUUCUGUUUAUUUUGUAGCAUUUGUGUUUAUCCUGGGAUAGUUUGUGUUUAUUUUGAAUUUGUGUAUGUUUAUUAUUUAGAGUUUGUAUUUAUCCUCAAAUAAUUUAUGUUUAUAGCAGCUAGAGUUAGGCGUGUCCAUGUUUAUUUCAAUCAGAAAUUAAUUUAUACAUUUUUCUCAUUCUCCAUCAUAGGAGAACAUAAAUUUACCUAAUAGAGCAAACUCAAAUUUCUGAAUGAAUAAGAUUAAAACUCAGAAUAUGAUCCACCCAACUUGUGGACCCUCUCUUUGUGUUUAUCUUGAGAGGAUCCUUGGAUCACUCAACUUGUGAACUCCAAGUUUGUAUUUAUCCUAUGAUGUUUGUACUUAUUUCAGUAGAGUUUCUAUUUAUUAUAUGUAAUUUGUGUUUAUUACAUGGCUUUUGUGUUUAUUCCUAGAUAGUUUGUAUUUAUCUUACAAUGGGUUCAUAAGGGACAUAAAGCAACCUGUGGCAGUUUGUAUUUAUUCUUCGUCAGUUUAUAUUUAUUAUUUGGUGUUUCUAUUUAUUCUAUUAUGUUUUGUAUUUAUUUCAGUAGGACUUAGUAUUUAUCCUCUUCUCUUUGUCUUUAUUCGGGGAGGACCUUUGGAUCAUCCAACUACAGGACCCUGAUAGAGAAGAAGUGUCUUUCGAUGACAAACAGAGGGGGAGAGAGGAAGAAAUCUAUUUUGGCGGCAAGAGAGAGAGAGAAGAGUUUUAUUUAGAAGAGUUUCUUCCGAGGAGAAACAGAGGGAAGAGUCCUGUGGCCUUCAAAGCUUUUGGAGGAGACAUAGAUGAUUGCUAUAGAGAAAGAAGAAGAGAAGGUUGGUGGUGGCUAGGGGGGAGCAUUUGGACAAGACGUGGACCUUGGUCGGAGGGAGAGAAGAAGAGAGGACGGUGGCUACGGGUGGAGGGUUCGGAGGAGAUGAUGACGGUGGCUGGAGAGAGAGAAAAAAAAGGAUGGUGAUGGCCGUCGGGGGGGGAGGUUAGGAGGAAAAGAUGAUAGUGGCCGGAGAGAGAAGAAGAGAGGACGGUGGCCGGAGAGAGAGAAGAAAAGAAGAUGAUGGCUGGAGAGAGAAGAUAAGAUAGAUAGUAGGUGGAGGGGUUUGGAGAGAGAAGAAGGGUGAAAAGAAGAGAGAGAAGAAGAGACGGGAGGAAGAGGUGGCUUUAUGUCGUGUCCUAUUUAAAAGCAUGAGUUUUUUUUUAAACUCCGCUACAUUAGCCAAACGGCUCCCAAACAUCACCGUUAGCCCUUUAAAGCCUGCUUUGAGAUGCAUGCUAAUCCAAUGGAUGGGAAUACGUCCGGAUAUGGAUUGGAAUCCGAUCAAUCGAAGCCUAGUCUAUUUCUCUCUCUCUAUAUAUAUGCAGAGAGAGAGACAUAUGCAUACAGUAAAAAAGAAGGUAGAUGAUAGUAUUUGCCGAUGCUAGAAGAGAGCAUCGGCAGAUUGCACAACUAGUUCAAUACUUUGCAUUUGCUUUUAAAAUGUGUCAAAAAAUAAUAACACUUACAAGUGUCACCAGGGUUUAACUUGUUCUAAGACGACGCUUUAAAACGUUGUUAUCUUAUAACACUUCGAAGCAUUGUUAUCUUACAACACUUGUUCGCAUCAUCGGAUGCCAAUCAAUAUCACAUCCUCGCCCGAUCCACCCCAAAUUCCUAAUUACUCUGUUGUUUCUGUCGCAAGUUCCCGACGAAGUCCUUGAGAACAAGUAACGAUCAAAUAGUCAGCCUCUUUUUUUUUUUUAAUGGGAGAGAUGCUUAAAGUUGAAUGCUUAGUGGUUAUUUUGAAGAUGUAUUUAUGUGGUCAUGACCUUGAAUUGAUUAUUCCAGAAUGAUGACAGUUAUGACUCUGAAUUUUUUUACCUUGAAAUUCACCUGAAAGGCUUGCUUAGAAUACGAUUUAGAACAUAUGAGGAGACUAAAAUCACUGGGGCCUUAUGGUAACAAGAUUUUAUAUCUUCGGACAUUGGAGUUGUUAAAUGUUUUGGGGCACUUGUUACUGCAUCUAACAUAAGUGAUUGGCAUGCAUUGUUUGAUAUUUUCAUUGUUUAUCUACACAUUUUAAAAUUUAAAAUGCUUUAGUCAAUUUGAAAAAUUAAAUUAAAUUAAAUUAAAUUGCUUCAUGCACAUUGGCUUGAGCAAAUAAUACCAUUAUGCCUCCAUUAUUUUCCGUGUUUUAUAACUACAGGGUUCAACAUGAACCAUCUCCCAGAAUGACGUGGGAGGAGGGUAUUGGUGUGAUUCACUGGGGUUAGGUGUGGUUGACAAGGCAUUGGAUUUCUUUUCUUUAAUUUUUGGACUCAUAACAAUUUUGCUGGUUUUUUUCUUGAAUCUCUAAUUUUCCAUCUAUCCAAAACUUCCAAAUGCCAAACCUGUGACUAUACAUUUCAAAAUUGCAAUAAUUGUGCAAUCUUAUUCAUCUUACGUUUACAUCAUAAAUUAAUGAUGUGUCUUGUUUCUUUUCUUAUUAUAUAAAUUUGCCCAAGUAUGCCAAGAGCAAACUACAGCUGUUAACAUAACAAAGCCCUGCCCUUUCUGGUUUGGGAGAUUUGACCUGAUAGAAAAGGUACAUUGUUGAAAAUUCCAUGCUUCAUGAUAAGAUGAUGCUUGUGAGUGAGAAAACUCCGGAUUGACCAGUCAUUUUCGACAAGUUGGCUUCUAUUAUAAUGUUAUUGGAAAAUUAAUUUUGAUGUCUUAGCCACUGAACAGGAUUUCAUUUAAUGAAGCUUUCUAGCAAGAAGACCUAGAGGUGAAGCAACAACCUCUAUGACCCUUUAUCUAUCACCUAGCUUACCAAAAUGAAUGUUGUUUCCCGUGGAUAUGCCAUACUUGUCCAGUUUGGAACACAAACUUGGCACUUUCCUAACUUACCAAUGGAUUGUUAAGGUGAUAGUGACUGGAAUUAGCACAAUGCCAAGAUAGUAGUUUAAUUAUUAUUUAUUUACAGUACAUCACUUAAUUCAAGGGACCACUUUAAUUUCCUAUCAAUUCAAGGGACCACUUUAAUUUCCUCCUACCUCCGUUGCCUCCAACAACCACUGCUUAACUUUCCUCUCAAUGAUUCUUGAGUAUCUUCUACGGAUUUAUGAUCUGAGCCAUGGGUUGUGUAUCAUUAUUUUAGCACCAUUAGUGGUAAUGUAAGAAUAUGUGUGAUGUUAGUAAUAUGCAACUUUAUUAGCAAAGUCUUGUCCUUUGAUGUAGUGAAUUUUUUUGGUAGUGAACUGUGCAUGAUCUUGCAACCAAUUUUUUAAUCCAUAGGACAUGAGAGGUAAUGACCGAAAUAAUGACUAACUAGAAAUGCAAUUAAGACAGAAAUGGCAUUCGAUAAUUUGUCCCUUUAUAUUUUUUGUUAACUGAAUGCAAUAUUAAAUAUUUACUUUCUUUCAUUUUUUAGAUAAGGUGCAAUUUUAGUCAUUUUUUUUCUAUUAUUAUGGUCAAUCUCCGAGUACGUCUGACUUCGAUGGAGAGCUACCUGCAAAAGAAGUCCACUGGCCAGAGUUUUGUCUGGAGGAAAUCCUUCGAUGCCUAAGUCAGCUGGGAGUGGUGAACAGGAUAUUUAAAGUAGAAUUUGACAGGAUUUUAGCCCAGAAAUCCUCCUUACUGUUGCUUGUUCCCUAACUUCCCUUUUAUAGACGAUUCGGAUAUAACCGUUGAGCACAUGGAGUCCCACUUUUUAUAGCAUUAACUCUUAUUAUCAGGCCAUAAUCAUAGAGUUAGUGGGCAGUUUAUGCCCACUAAUGAUCGUGGUAUGCAGUCGUUACCCAUGAUUGUGUAUCACGAUUGUAAAUUCUAAUAUACCGAUUGGAGGUCGAUGAUUUUGAUAUACCGAUUAAGGGUCGGUGAUUCUAAUAUACCGACCGACCAUCAGUUUUUCAUAUUUUAUAUCAAAAAGUAGUUAGUAGUAGUGUAUCGGGUCGCUUGGAUUGGUUGCCGUUUGAGAAAGACAAUCGAGAGUUAGUGACAUAUAGUCGGAUAACUGAUAGACAGUCAGCCAUUCGUUAUAUUCCGUGAAGUCGAUUGAAUGUUGGGGUGAUGAACCCUGUAGAUAUUAUAGUCGAACCAGUGAUUUUCGUGGCGGUCUUAUUUUGACGGUCCAACAUCUAUUGCUGAAGCAGAGUCGGAGAGCCGAUCUUGAAUUGGGGGGAGUAGAUCCGAUUGUCCUAACAGUUGUCCUCCACUUUCGAGUCUAAGAUGACUUGACACAUAGGACGAUAGGAGUCAGCAUAUCUUCUGUCCUGAUUUCGAGCCCUGAUUCUAUGAUUAUUUCGGCUAUAGGUAUUAAUGAUCCUCUCAAAAAUAAAAAUUCUUCAGCCAUUUUGUCAUUUUGAUAAUCGUGCGAUCAUCAUUGGGAUAUAAAAUCAAGGGGAUGAUUUUUUAAUGUUGCAGUCGGUCGGAUGGUAGAAUGAUCCGAUUGAUUUGAUUUUGACUCGUUAGGUGCCGCUACAUGUCUGAUGGUCAUUGGUUCUUGACGAUUCAUGCGGAUCAUGUUGACGUGUCUUGAUCAGAUGGUAGGUGCAUUAAAAGGUCCGAAUGAUGUUCGGCCCUAACAUCUCCAUGUAUCAAGAUCUAGGUAAAUCUUGAUUUGAAUGAACUCAUCUCGACUAUCGGUGGGUUCUAUAUAUCAAGGUAGUCUUCCUCCUUCAUUUAGGUCUUCCGCAACUCUAAGAACCCAAGAGCUUUCCCGUGGGUGUCGAUAGCUCCAUUGAAGGGGACUAUUUUUUUUCUUCUUUCUCCACAUCUUUGUGAUCUCCAGGAAUUUUUUCUAGCUUUCAGGUUGGCCUUUUCUCUUUCCUUCUUCACUUCUUUUUUGGUUUUCUCCGCCAUUGUCAAUGGCUAGUAGUAGUAGGAAGGAUAAGGGUAAGGUUUGGGAAGACAAAAAUAGACCUCCUAGUCUAAAACCUUCUUGGAGUAGUUGAUUGGUUAGUCUAGUUGAUGAAUCUCUUUCGGAUCCGACCGUAAAAGCUUCUUCUAUAAUCGAAUCUGGAAUUCUUCAGCUCUGGAAAUAAUAUUGUAUCCUAGAGCAGUUUCGACUUUAUACACCCAGUUCGGAUGAUCGAGUGAUCUCCCCUCCUGUAGACCAAAUAGCUAUUUAUAUAGAGAACCUUCGGGCUGAACUUCAUUUUUCAAUUCCAGACUUCGCUCGAAAUAUUUUUGAUUAUUAUAAGAUUUGUCCUGCUCAGCUCAUCCUGAAUUUCAUUCGGCUUACCAUCAAUUUUGCUUGGUUGUGUCAUAUGAUUCCGACCAACCUUAGAGUGUCCUUUUUUCGAGCUUUCUUCGUACUUCAUCACACCUUAAGGCAGAGGGUUGGUGGUUCUUUGAUCUGAGAAAGGGUCUGCAUUUUAUUACCGGCUCCCUUCUUCCAUCCAUGGAUAGAAGAAUUAGUUCUUUUUUAUGUCUUCCUCUUUGACCUGGGGCUUUCCUUCCUCUUGGGGAAAUCCUCGAGUGAGCCUGAAUGAAAAUAGCCAAGUUGAUGUCGCCGACCGAGAAGACUUUCUAUGAUUAGAAAAUAUGGAAGUCCCUCUGCAAUGGGAGUUGCUGAUGGAGCGGAGCCUAUAUGACGCCAGACUUAGCUCAGCACCUUCUGCAGGUAUAGCAUGGUAUUCAUCAAUCUUUCAUUUUCCAUUUAACCUCAAAUUUAUGGUUAAGUCAUUGUUGUUUUCUAUCUGUAGGUAUGCAUUCGUCAGUAGAUGAGAUUUGGCAGAAUGCCAUCAGAAAGAGGUUUGCUGCUGGUGCGGGUCCAUCUUAGGGUCCGAAAAAGACCCGACCCGAUACUCCUUCAAUGAUUGUGUCUGAGGCCCGCAUCGAACCUAUUAUUGCACUAUCAGCCUCGAGGGUCCUUCCAUCACCUGAAGCUCCUUCGUUGGUGGAGCAAUCAAGCAGUCAUGAUGAUGUCGUGAUUAUCGAUCCAAUACUGACUAGCGUGGCACCGACGACGACUCGGGUGCCAUCAUCAUCUCGAUGAUCUUACACAUCUGAAUGGAUGGCAGUGCCAGUCGGUCAGCCAUCCACACAAGAGCGCGGAAAGGUGCCGCAGGUUUCGAUUGGUGGUGAGGCUCCGAAAGAUUUGAUGGAGCAUUUUGACAUUUGGGUACCCAUAGGUGAGUCGGUCUUGGGAAACCCAAGGUUGGCGAAACAACUUUUGGAGGACACACUUCUCCUGACGGAUCGAGAGAAUAGAAAGGAUCGGACUAUAUCUGAUAUCUUUUCAUCUUUUUAUCCCAUCAUCCUCAGUGUAAGUCGAUAUUUCUUUGUUUGCUCACUCUUAUUGGUUUUUUUUUGCAAUUCUAACUAUUAUCUUUUCCAAUUAGUGCAUGAUGUGUCAGCAAUAGAGACUAGAUUCCAAGGACUAACGAGACUUGGUCGGAUGUGGGUCGACUGAGUUGCAACUGCAGAAGCUGACAAGGAAGUCAUCAAUGAACUUCUUCAAAUGGUGACCGAUCAAGAGAAAAAGUACAAGGAAGAAAUCUAUCGACUGAAGUCGAUUAGCAUAAGCCCAAUAGACCAUCAACUCCCAUGAUGCUCGAAUUCAGCAGAAAAAGAAUACGAUUAGCCGACUCUGAGAGGAGCAUGAUGACUGCAAUCGUGAAUUGGAGAAUGAGUGAAAAAGGCAUCAGGCUACGGAAGCAAGGUCGGCACUGACCAAUGCCGAGUUGGCAUCCGCAAAGGAAGUGGUGAAGAUUGCUCAGGAAGCUUUAGUCAAGCUCAGCUGGCCCUUAGUUGAGCCAUCGAAGACUACAAGAAGUCUGAAGAUUUCAGACAAGAAGUUCUCGAAGGCAGUGAUGAAGCUUACCGGGUCGAAUACGAGGAUGGUAAAGAUGUUGUUGCAAAGCUUUACUCAAACCUGAAUUUGAGUAGCAUCACCAUCCCGACUCCAAAGGAAAGGGUGAUGGAAGCAGCUCCGACUGUCGAAGGAACUGCUCCGGUUAUUAAAGAAACCGCACCCGUGUCUAUCGAAAUAGAAUCGAUUACCAUCGGAGUCCAAGAAACUGAAGCAACAGUGGUGAUCCAAGCGGCUGCAUCGAAAGUUGCUGGUGAAGUGAUCGGCAGUCGGUGUAGUUAGGUUUUCUCUUUUUGUUACUGAACUUUAGUCCAAUUUUGUAGCUCUCAGUUGACACUAAAAUUUUUUCCUUUUGUCACUGGACUUUAGUCUGAUUUUGUAGCCUUCAGCUGAUAAUGAAAGAAAUUUUUUAAGUGUCAAGUCUCUUUGAAUGUGAUCAUCAUUCAUUGUAGUGUUGCUAAUUUAGAUGAAUAGCAGUUAGUGUAGUUUGCUUUUUAGCUGGGUGUUAACCAACUAACUCUUAGGCAUAAUUUUUAUAAAUAUUUGAUAUACAAAAAAUAAUCAAAUAUCCUUCGAUCGAUUGAAGUCAAGUUGGUAUAUUCUUUUGAUCGAUCAUAGUCGAGUCGGUAUAUUCUUUCGAUCGAUCGGAGUCAUAUCAAUAUGUAGAUUAACCUAUGGAUCGUCGGUCAAACAUCAUAUUUGUAGAUAGCCAAAUAUUCUAUUGAAAAUCUGUUGAAAAUCAAACAUGUCAUUUUGAAUAUAUUAUAAGGAUAAAUUUUAUUGAUAAUACAUUCAUAGAUUGUCAGCAUUUCAUGUCCGGAAGACAGUCAUUCCAUCGAGAGUCUCAAGUUGAUAUGCACCCAGACGAAGGGUUUCGAUCAUCCUGUAUGGGUCUUUCCAGUUACGAGAUAAUUAUUCUUGCUCUGAGGGUUUUGAAACUUCUGCUUUUCUUAAAAUCAAGUCUCCAAAAUGGAAGACCUCCAGUUUAACCCUUGCAUUGUAAUACCGGAUCACUCUUUGUCGGUAUGUAGCCAUCCUUAUUUGGACUUGUAGCUAAACCUCUGGGAGUAGGUCUAAGUCAGCUCUUCAGUGAUCGAAAUUACUUAGCUCUAUAUAUUGUUCGAUCCUCAUUGAUGGUAGUCUAAUCUCUAAUAGGAUCAUUGCUUCCAUUUCAUAUGAUAGAUUGAAUGGUGACUCUCACAUUGGGAUGCGAGGAGUCGUCCGAUAAGAUCAUAAGACUGGGUAUAAUUCUUCUACCCAUAAACUCUUGGCUUCAUUUAGUUUGGUUUUGAGGCUAUGCAAAAUUGUUUAGUUUGUCACUUUCGCUUCUCCAUUUGACUGCGAAUGGCCGAUGGAGGUGAGUUUGUGGAUGAUAUGAAAUUUUGCACAAAACUUUUUGAACUUUUGAUUGUUGAAUUAUCGAUCAUUAUCGGUAAUAAUGGUAUGUGGUAAUCCGAAUCGGUAUAUGAUGGACUUCUGAAUAAAGUCUUCCAUUUUGUCUUCAGUAAUUUGCACUAGGGGUUUGGCUUUUAUCCAUUUGGUGAAAUAAUCUAUGACGACAACUAAAAACUUCCUCUGACCAAUCAUCGAUGGAAAAAGAUCGAAUAUAUUGAUUCUCCAUUGUGCGAAGUGCCAUGGUACAAUGAUCAGUAUUAACUAGCUGGCUAGUUGAUGCUGAAUGUUGGCAUAUUUUUGACAUAUUUCGCACCUUCGAACAAACUCAGUGGCAUCUUUUCUCAUGGUGGGCCAGUAAUGCCCCUGCCGUAAGACUUUAUAAGCAAAUGAUUUGUCCCCCAGGUGAUUUUCAUAAAUCCCUUCAUGGACUUCUUGGAGAGCAUAAUCUGCUUCAGUUGAUCUUAAAUAUUUGAGCAAUGGAAGAAAGAAUGACCUUUUAUAUAGUUGUCCAUCCAUCAGCACAUACUGUGAAGCUAUCCAUCUUAGUCGUUUGGCUUCUAAUGAAUCCUCAGAUAGAAUUUCAUCGAUCAAAUACUGAAUGAUUGGAUCCAUUCAACUUGGUUCUUCAUUUAUUUAUGGCAGUUUGUCGACUUCAUCACUACUUGGUUGUUCGAGGUAUUCGAUGAAUGUUCGAUCGAGUACAUUGAAAGAAGUAGUUGCCAGUCAAAAAAGUAUAUCGGCACAUGUAUUUUUUAUUCUCGAGAUAUUGGAGAUCUCAAAAUACUUGAAAGUUUGGAUGAGAUCUAUCACUUUUUGAAGAUACUUCACCAUGAUAGGAUCCCGAGCUUCAAAUUCACCUUUAACUUAUCCGAUGAUCGAUUGUGAAUUUGUGAAGACCUUCAAAUUAUCCACACCAAGCUCUUUUACAAUCCUCAAACUGACUAACAAGACUUCAUAUUUGGCUUGAUUAUUCGAAGCUUUAAGUUGAACCGAAGGGCAUAUUCAUCACUGUCCCUUCGAUGUUGGUGAGUAUGAGGCCAGCUCCACUUUCUUGAGCAUUGGAUGGUCCAUCAACAUGCAACAUCCAAACAGAUUCUGGUUCAGCCUCCGAGCUUUCAAUUUGCUUAGAUUUGUCAUCAGAUUUAUCAUUAAGUAUAGUGCACUCGAUGAUGAAGUCGGUCAAGACUUGAGCUUUCAUUGAUAGUCAUGGGCAAUACUGUAUAUCAAAUUCAUAGAGUUUAAUUGCCCACUUUACCAUCCAACUGGAGAUAUUUGGUCGCUGUAAGAUUGCCUUCAAGAGUUGGUCUAUCAAGACGACCACUGAGUGUGCUUGAAAGUAUUGUCAAAGUCUUUGGGUCGAAAUAACAAGAGCAUAGACUAUCUCUUCUGUCUUCAAAUAUCUAGUUUCAGUGUCAUGGAGAACUUUGCUUGUAUAGUAAAUAGGCCUUUGAGUUCGGUUUUCAUCUUCCCUGACAAGAAUGGAACCAACCACUUCUGAAGAUAUUGCCAAAUAGAUAUACAGUGUUUCUCCCUCCUUCUAUUUUAUAAGUAGUUGAGGAGAUGUCAAGUAUCUUUUUAGAUCUUCAAAAGCCUACUGGCAUUCAUCCGACUAUGAGAAGUCAUUUAUUUGCUGCAAAGUCUUGAAGAAGGAUAGACACCUUUCUAUUGACUUUGAAAUGAAUUGGCUAAGUGCGGCGAUUCUUCUAUUUAACUGUUGUAUCUUCUUUUUAGAGUUAGGAUACUUUAUGUUGAGAAUGGCUUUUAUCUUUUCUGGGUUGCUUCAAUUCUCCGCUACGACAUGAGAAACCCAAAAAAUAUUUCGACUGUUACAUCGAAUGCAUAUUUAGUCAGAUUUAGCUUCAUCUAGUAUCGUCGAAGUGUGUUAAAAGCUUCCUUCAAGUCUUGGAUGUGAUCAUGUAUUUUCAUGCUUUUCACAAGCAUGUCAUCGAUAUAAACUUUCAUAUUUCGUCUGAUCUAUUCUUUGAAGAUUUUGUUGACCAACAAUUGAUAAGUCGCUCCGACGUUCUUUAAGCCGAAUGGCAUCACUUUGUAGCAGUAGAUAUCUUUAUCGGUCAUGAAAGCUAUGUUCUCUUUAUCUUCGGAUGCCAUUCGGAUUUGAUUGUAUCUCGAGAAGGUGUCCAUAAAGCUCUAGAGUUUAUGCUCCGAUAUUGCAUCGAUUAGUUGAUCAAUCUUCAGUAGAAAAAAAUUAUCCUUUGGACAGGCUUUAUUUAAGUCCGUAUAGUCAAUACAAAUUCAUCAUUUUCUAUAGGUUUUCUUUACUAUCACGACAUUGGCCAGCCAAUUCAGAUACUAGGCUUCCCUGAUGAAGUCUGCUGCAAGAAGCUUGUCGACUUUUUCAUCUAUGGCCUUCUGUCUUCGAGAGCAAAAUUUUUUUUCUUUUGCCUCACCAAUUUAAAUUUUGGAUCAAUACUUAACCGAUGAGUUAUCAUAUCUGGAGGGAUCCUGAGCAUGUCAGCCGUCGAUCAGGCAAAGACGUUGACAUUGGUUCUUAGUAGAUUGAGUAGUUGACUUCUUUCUGACUUAGCUAGAAGUGAUCCGAUUUGAAUAAUUUUAGUUGAAUCAUUUUCUCUCAAUAGAUCAAAAUCAAUUAUUCAACUGGCUCACCCUUUUCUUUAUUAUCCCUCUGGUCUAGUUUGUCAACCGAUAGAGGGUCUUCGGAUUUGUUGCCAUUAAUAGAGAUCAUGAAGCAGUGUUGGGCCAGUUGUUAAUCCCCUCGCAUCUACCUAAUCCCAUUUCUUCUUAAAAAUUGGAUAAGGUGAUGGUAUGUUGAAACAAUUGCUCUUAACGCAUUGUUCCGAUCAUUCGAUUAUGGCAUUGUAGUAGAAGGCACUCAGACAAUGAUAAAUGUUAAGAGGAUAGUACUUUAUCAUGGUUCAAUUUUGAUAGUUAGAGGAGGAGUAAUUUCCUCCUCUAUACUAACUGCAUCUCCUAUGAAGCUGACUAAAGGGGUAGAAACCUUCUUGAGUCGAUCAACAGGUAGUCGUAUUUGAGAUAAGAUGGAGUAAAAUAAAAUAUUCAUGAAACUUCCAUUAUCUACAAAGAUUUUUUUACAUCAUAAUUAGCUAUCAUCGUUGAGAUGACGACAGCAUCAUUAUGAAGAGUUUAUACUCCUUAAGUAUCAUCAUUCGAAAAGAAAAUUAUAUUAUCUUGUCGUUGCUUCUUGGAUGAUUUCUCUUCGAAACUUGCCCCUUAAUCUCUUGGUUGCCUUGAGAUUAUGUUGAUGACUCCCACCAUUGGUCGAUUAUUGUUAGCUUCCUCAGGUUGAAACUGAGGAUGUUGGUCGGUAGGAGGCUGAGUCGGACAGUUGCAUCAAUAUUUUCUGAGAUAACCCCAUUGGAUUAGGGCUUCCAUCUCAUUUUUAAGUUGAAUAUACUAUUCGGUAUCAUGAUCAUGAUGGAACUGAUAGUAUUUUUUCUUGUCGUGACUCUUCAGUGGUGCUUUCAUCGAAGGUGGAUGGCAAAGAUAAUCUUCUCCUUCAAUCUCCAUUAAAAUCUGCACAUAAGAAGUAGAGAGAGGAGUGUAGAAGUCAUAUCUAGAUUUAAAGUUUUUCAGUUUUGGACUCUGUCGGUGGGAUGAAGUUCCUUUAUCGGUUGACACCUGACUUGGUCUAGCUAGGGCUCCAUUCUAUUUUUAUUUUUUCUUCUGAUCUUUUUUUUCUGAUUGACACUAGUCAGUAGUGCCCUCGUCCACACAGAUAUAUUUAUACGUGUGCUCAAAAAGUUCUGCAUAUGUCCGAAGGAGCAUCUUAUCCAAAAAGUUAGAGAAUCUAGAACUUCUAAGCCCCCUCUUCAUAGUCAAGAUGGCCAUAUCCUUGUUGAGGUCUCAAACUUCAAUCAUGGCAGUGUUGAAACAUGCCACAAAGCUUUUUAAGGUCUCUCCUUCAUUCUGCUUGAUGGAGAAGAGACUGUCGAAUAUUCGCACCAUUCUUCUACUGGUGCUAAAGUAGAUCACGAACGACUAUUCCAGCUGCUCAAAGGAAUGGAUAUUUUUCAACUAGAGCCCAGAAUACCAGGCCCGAGUAGUUUUUCGAAUUGUAAUUGGAAAGCCAAGACAUAAGAGAGCAUCGGUUGUCCUCUGAAUCAUCAUGAGAGUCUUAUAGCUCUCUAGGUGGUCAACGGAGUCGGUGAAACCAUCAUAAGACUCCAUUUGCAGUAUCUGGAAUCGAGUCGGGAUCAGCUCGUCCCAAAUAUGCUAAGAGAAAGAUGGAGUGGUGUGGAUGCCAAAAUCGUUGGAAGAUCCUCGGCCAUCCACUUGGAGCUGGACAAGUCGACGGUCGAUCUCUUUGAGCUUGCGCUCAUAGUCGUCGAGUCACCAUUGCUGUGAGAAUUUAGGGGUAGAAUCUUUGUAAGAACUUGAGGAUGAAGAACUUGAAGGUGAGUGUAGUCUCUUUCCCUUCUUAAUAAUGUGGCAAUGAGAAGAAGAAGACUGUCGCUGUUGGUGAGUGGCACAGUAGGAGUAUUAGGAUGGUGGCUCAACAUGAUGAGAAUAUUGAGCAGGUCAUCAUUCUAGAGACGAAGAAGGAGAUCGCCAUGGGGUGCAGCGACUGUGCUUGGAUGGCACUACAUGCGGCACCGGCUCCUCCAUCAUUGAUAACUGCUGCUGUUGUUGUGUUUGCUAGAGAUUGUGAACUACCUUCGUUAAUAUCUUCACCUACUGCACCAAGACAGUAAAUUGUUGAACAUCUACGGUAACAACUGGAUGUAAGGAACUGGGCUCUAUCUGUAGAGGUGGGAGAUCUUCUAGGUGGGAAAGCUGCCUGGCGGAGCUGGUAGAAAUAUUCUAGGCUCUCAUUUUUGGCAUGAUGUUUAGAUCUUUCUCCCCCUACUUGGUGCGUCAAUCUAUUACGGCCAAUCCUCGAGUAUGUCUGACUCCAAUGGAGAACUAUCUGCAAAACAAGUCCGCUAGUUGGAGUUUUAUCUAACAGAACCCUCCGAUGCCUAAGUCAGCAAAGAAUGGUGAAUAUGAUAUUUAAAGUAGAAUUUGACAGAGUUUUAGCCCAGGAGUCCUCCUUACUGUUGUCUAUUUCCUUACCUUCCUUUUAUAGGCGAAUCGGGUAUAACUGUUGAGCACGUGGAAUCUCACUUUUUAUAGUAUUAAUCCCUAUUAUCGCAUCAUAAUUAUGGAGUUAGUGGGCAGUUUAUGCCCACUAGCGAUCGUAGUAUGUAGUUGUUACCCAUGAUUGUGGUAUCACAAUUGUAGAUUCUAAUAUACCGACUGGAGGUCGGUGAUUUUGAUAUACCGAUUAAGGAUCGGUGAUUCUAAUAUACUGACCGACCAUCAAUUUCUUAUAUUUUGUAUCAAAGAGUCAUUGGUAGCAGUCUAUCGGGUCGCUUGGAUUGGUUGCCAUUUGAGAAAGGCAACCGAGAGUUGCUGAUAGGCAGUCGGAUAAUUGGUAGACAAUUAGCCAUUCAUCAUGUUCCGUGAAGUCGAUUGAAUGUCGGGGUGAUAAACCCUAUAGAUGUUAUUAUCAAACUGGUGAUUUUCAUAGUGGUCUUAUUUUGACGGUCCAACAUCUGUUGCUGAAGCAGAGUUGGGGGCCUGAUCUUGAAUCAGAGGGAGUAGAUCUGAUUGUCCCAACAUCUACGAUGGACAAAAGUUCGAUAAAUAAGCAAAGGUCCAGCAAAAAAUAUUUAGAUAGCAUUCAAGAUUUUUAUUAAAUUUGCUAUAGAGAAAUCUAAUAUGAAUGGGAAGAUUCUAUGUCCAUCCUAAAACUAUGUAAAUUGUUUUCCUCUUGAUCCACAAACUAUUGAAUAACAUUUGGUAUGGAAUGAUUUUUUAAAGGGUUAUAGUGAGAAGUAUUUCAUGGAGAAUGCAUAUUACCAUCUCCAUAUGAUCAACCAUCCUAUAUAGAACAUAUGUCUGAUUUUGAAUCCAUUAACCUACAAAGGAAUCCUGCAAGAGAAAAUGAUACAAAGAUCCUGCUCAAAGAUGCUUUUAGACUUGGUAUUAAAAAUUUAGGAGAUUCCAAUAGCAAACAAAAAGCAAUGGGAUGUCUGAGGGGUUUAUAUUUACCGAACCUAUAUAUGCUAAGAAGCCCAUAUAUCCAUUUAAUGAUGAGACAGCUUAGUAGCACAACUUGAUGAAAGAUUGUAAUGAAUAACUAUAUCCGAAUUGUAAGAAUUUUUUAAAGAUUUCUUUUCUUAUACAUUUAUUCCAUUUGAAAUAUUUGAAUGGAUGUUUGGACAGGAGUUUUACUAUGCUAUCCCAAUUAUUAAAUGAUGCAUUUUAAAAGUUAUUAGUUUGCCAUCAUCUUCUUAUAAAACCAAGAAAGUAUGAAAUGAAUUAGAUCUUGAAUACAAAAAGAUUCAUAGUUAUAAGAAUGACUAUAUAUUAUAUUGGGACAAAAAUGUUAAUUAAGAGUCAUGCCAUGUAUAUGGAUCUUCGUGAUGGAUAAUAUAUAAAGAAAAUGAGGGUGAUCUAAUGAAUGAAAUGGAUGCCAUAUAGAGUAAAAAAAAGGGGCCAAAGUAUUGUAUUACUUUCCUCUCAUAUCUAGACUAAAAAGGUCUAUGCAUCAUCAAAAACAACUUUGUCAAUAAGAUGGCAUGAUGAAGAUCAUACAAAUGAUGGAAUAUUGAGACACCCAGUGGGUGGUUUAGCAUAAAAAAUAUCUGAUGAUAGUCAUCUUAAUUUUUCUUUUGAUUUUAUAGUAUUAAAUUGGAUUUAGCUUUUGAUGGCUUCAAUCUAUUUCAGACUUUGAGUUUUAUCUACAACACUUGACUAGUCAUUUUAAUUCCUUAUAAUUUGCUACCAUGGAUGUGCAUGAAAUAGGCUUCACUUAUUCUGUCAAUAGUUACUCCAUGUGUUAAGGGUCUAGGCAAUCAUAUUGAUAUUUUUCUAUAAUAUUUAAUAGAUAAAUUGAAAUAAUUAUGGGAAGGUAUUGAUGCAUUUGAUGCUUUCAUCGACCAAAUUUUUUAAAUUGCGAGAAGCUCUUAUAUGGAUUAUUAAUGAUUUUCUUGCACAUACUAAUUUAUCUGGCUGGAGCACUAAUGGACAUGUUGCAUGUCCUUCUUAUGGGGAUCCAACAUAUUCAUAUUAGAUAAAAUAUGGAGAAAAAUUUUGUUAUAUGGUUCAUCACUAGUGGUUGGAAGCAAAUCACAUAUUUCGAUUUUAGAAAGAUUUAUUUGAUGGUACUAUAAAGUUGGGAUUUAUCCUUAUUCCACCUUCUGGAAGUGAUGUUCUUAGGCAGAUGCAUGUAAUCAGACAUAGUUAUGGGAAGAUAUCCAAGUCUUCAAAAAGAAGAGGAAGGGAGGAUGUAGAAAGCUCAAUGCAUAAAGAGUUACCAAAGAAAGUCCGUACUGGCAAUCUAGAAAUAGAGGUAUUUCAGGAUGUUCAUAAUUUCUUUAAGGAUAAUAAAAAUGUAGAUGGACAAAAAUAACAAUGACAUAAUGGUAGCAUCUACAAAUAGUAUUACUAAAUAGUUAUGGAAGGAAAGAAGUAUCUUCUUUGACUUAUCUUAUUAGGAGCAUAAUUUUCUUUGGCAUAAUCUUGAUGUGAUAUAUCUAAAGAAGAAUGUUUGUGAUAAUUUGAUGGGAAUAUUGUUAAAUCUUGAUGAAAAGACCAAAGAUAAUAUGAAGAUGCAUCUUGAUUUAAAAAAAUAGGCAUCCAACAAGAACUUCAUCCCUUCUACAUGUUACACAAUAUCUAAUCGAGAAAAAGAUUUUUUUUGAUAAUCCUAAAAAAUAUCAAGAUUCCUGAUGGGUAUACAAUAAAUAUUUCACGAUGUAUAAAUAUGAAAGAACAAAAAUUUUCAAAUAUUCAAAGUCAUGAUGGUCAUAUAUUGAUGAAAGAUUUCCAUUGACUUUAAGAUCAUUAAUACCAAAACAAAUUGUUGCAUUUAUUUUCAAAUUAUCAUCAUUUUUUAAGACAUUAUGUUCCAAAGUUCUUGAUCCUCAGGAGCUUAAUCAAUUGGAAUCUUGUGUUGUAGUUACUCUUUGCCAAAUAGAAAAGAUCUUUCCUUCAAAAAUUUUCAUUAUGAUGGUUUAUCUAAUCAUUCAUUUAGCUUCGAAAGCUAAACUUGGUAAACUGAUAUACUAUAAAUGGAUGUAUCUUAUUAAGAGAUAAAAAAUUAUAAAAUAUAUAAUUAUAAUUUAAAAAUUUUUAGUUUUUGAGGAAGGUUAUGCUAAUAUUAUUGUUUCACAUUUAUUUUUAACUUUUGAAGGCAUCUUGUGCAUAUGAAGGAUUAUGUAUAUAAUAAAGCACAUCCUAAGGCCUCAAUUGCAAAAGGAUAUGUUGUUAAAGAGUGUUUGAUAUUUUAUUCAAGAUAUCUUGAAGGUAUAGAGAUAACAUUCAAUCAACCUUAAAGAAAUUAUGAGAUUGUAAAAUAUAUUAAAAAUUACAAAUUCUUAUUUGGUGGAUGAGUUUUGGAAAAGGUUGAAAUUUUUGUUCUUGACCACAAAUCAUUAGCACAAGUACAUCAUUAUUUCUUACUUCAUAAUGACAUAGUAUCUAAGCAUCCUGGGUUAAAAUGAUUAUAACAUGAUUAAAUUUGAUGCCCUAUCACAUAUAAUGUGAUUGACCAAUGAUGUAGUAUUUAUACAGUGAGUUCUUGGUUGGUUAGUAACGAGGAAACAAUAACAUUUGUCCGAAUAUAGGGAUUGAGCAAAGAUGGUUGGUUGAGUUAUUCUCUGAAUGACUUUAUACACAAAUUAGACAUAUAACAUAGGUAUACGUUAAUAUCGAUAAAUAUUAUGAUUAGUUGACUUUUAGCCAAUUAUGUCAUAUUUUUUAGGUACCAAUGAUGGCGGAGAGCAAUUAUUCAGAUGAGUUGAUAGCUAUUGCUUGAGGUCUUAAUAAUAUUGUCAAUAGAUAUAAUUAUUUCUUCAUUAUUGAUUUUAAAUUUCAUACUAAAGAGCGAUAAAAAUUUAGAAAAAUCCAAAAUAGUGAAGUUAUGGUAGAAGUAGAUACAAAAACUUAUUAUAGUGUGCUUAUAGAUAUUUAUGAGUUGGAUUAUUAUAGAAAGUUUAAGAUAGUAUUAUUUCGAUGUGAUUGGAUUGACGUAAACUCACCAAGAGAUUUGAAGCAAGACACAAAUGAAUAUAGAUUUAUAAAUUUUUUAAAAUUGAUACAUACUAGUGUACUAUUAAAAAAUGAUCCAUUCAUAUUUUUAUCUCAAGCUCAACAAGUAUCUUUUGUACAAGACUCAAAACGUAAUGAAUGGACUAUUUCUAGAGACUUGUAAGAUAUGAUAAUAGAAUAGUUUUGGAAGAUGAGGAGACAUAUACUUAGUGUAUGUCUUGCACUAUUGUACCGAUUGAUGAACUAAAUACUUCAACAAAUUGGAUCAGGAUAGAUGUUUAAGGAGAGAAUAAUGCUCGACUCCUAUCAAUAAGAAUAUUUAAGAUGUAUAUUUUUAUUUAGUGAAUAGUAUUUAUUAUUAAAAAUUUAUCUAUUAUUAUAUUUAAAAUUUAUAUUAACUAAUAUUAAAUUAAUUUGUGCAGAUUAUGAAUGUUGUGUCUCAGACAUGCUUCAAAGGUAUAUAGUUCUAGCAUUCUCAGGCUAGAUCAUUUUCUAGUUAGGCCUAUGAGCUCUAGCAUCUCAAGAUCGACCCUUUGACACUCUAGCAAUCUCAGUAGCCUUGAUAGAAUUUUUAUCAUUUGUACAGUAGCCUCAGCCCAACAUGAGCCUCCUACUGAUGAUCCAAAUGAGGAGAUUAUUGUAGAUGACCUAUAGAUUCAUAAUAAUUUAAUAAAUUUUAGGAUAGAUUAUAAGAACAUCUCCUCAACUUUAGUCUAAUUUUACUUACAUUCUCUUGACUUUAAAAAGUAUCAAAUUAGUCUUUCAAGUUUUUGAGAUUUUUCAAAGUUGUUCUGUUGUUCACUUGCCAACAAAUGAUGUCAGCUUUCUCUCUCAAUAGAUUGAAAUACCCCUCGCUCAUCUAAAAGGGUUUGCUAGUAACAAAGAGGUGAAGGUGGAAGGAGCUACUAUGGAGGAAGAGAAUGGAAUUGUGGAGGUCGACAUAAAGGGGGAUGAUGGCAUCGAAGGCCUCAUGAAUAGAACUAGAGGAGGAGGAGAAGAAGAGGGUGAGGAGAAAGGCAAGAAGGGGCAAGGGGCCACUGGCAAAGAAUUUGUGGAGAUGAAGAGAACUGCCAUGGAGGGGGAGAGCUUAUGGGCGGUCUUAGAGGAAGUGGAUAAUAAGGUGAAGAGAGUAAGGAGGAAAGAAAGGGGGAAGGAUUGGUUGCCAAUGAGAAGAGAUGGAGAUGGAGGGGGCCAUCGUGGAAGGAUAGAGCUCAUGAGCGGGCUUGAAGGAGGAAGAGGAUGAGGAGACGAAGUGGGUGAGUAGGAAGGGAAGGAGGGGGAGGGACCACCACAAGGAAUGGAAGAAGGUGAAGAAAAUCACCAUGGAGGAGGAGGGAUCAUGGGUGGCUUGGAGGAGAAGGAUGGGAGGAAAAAUAGAUGAAGAAGGAAAGGAGGGGGAUAGAGAGGUCACCGGCAAAGAAUGGUUGGAGAUAGAGAGAGCCACUAUAGAGAAGAAGGGCCCAUAGGAGAGCUUAGAGAUGGAGGAGGAGGAGGAGAAGUGAGUGAAGAGGAAGGGGAGGAGGGUUGGGGAGGAGGAGAAAGAGUAGUCGUUGGUGAGAAAUAGAUGGAGAUAGAGGGAGUCAUCAUAGAGGAGAAGAAGUGGGUGAGGAAAAAAGAAAGGAGAGGGAAGGAGAAGGAAGAAAGAGGGAUGUUGCUGAUGGAGAGGAUCAAUCGGAGAGGAGGAAGGAUGAAAAAGAUAGAGAUAAGGAUAUUUUCAUCAUUUUAUAAAAUGAUAGCAUCAUAUGAUGGUCACAUUAUAUUAUUAUGUUAAUAGAGAUAAAUGGUAGGAUAAUUUUAGAAUAUUUCGAAUAUUUGAAGAGUUAGUUUGAUAUUUUUUAAAGUCAAGAAGAUGUAAGUGAAAUUGGAUUAAAGUUGAGGGGGUGUUCUUGUGAUUUGUCCUAAACUUUAUUUCAAAUUUAUUUCAUUUUGUACAAUAUAUAUUUAAUACUUUUGAAUUAGUUUUAUUCUUUUGUAUUUAUUUUAUAGAUGAUCAAGGAAGAGUGAAGAUUAGAUGGGGAUCCACAUGAGGUUGGACGUGUGGCAACUUCAUGAAAGUAAUGAUGAUGAUGAUGCUACCAUGGAUAUUGAUAGUCCUCUAUCUAUUUUUUUGAUAUUUUAUAUACAAUGUAUCUUUUGGCAAUUUUUAAAAGUUCUUCGAGUUGUAAUGGAUGAAUCAUCUUUGACAAUAUAAAAACUUGGAAUUUAGAUAUACAUUAUAGAUAUAUUUUGUGAUUUGUUGCAUAAUAAGAUUUUUUUAAUUUUUUUAAUAUUUAUUAUGUUUAAGUGAUUUGUUCGAGAUGUACAGAUUUAUUAAUACAUAUUUGUAUAAAUUUUUUGAUAUACUAUUUUGUUACCCUUCUUAUAAAAAAAUAAUUAGCGAUGCUUGUUAGUGUCACAAAACAUAAAUUGGAUAAUGUUUUAAAGCAUCAUUUGUAAAUAUAUAAAUCACACUUCUAAGCAUUGUUAAAUAUCGAGUAAAUGAUGUUUAUAAGCAUCAUCCACUUAGCAAUGCUAAUUAACAUCAUCAAUUUGCAAUGCUAAUUAGCAUCAACAGUUAAACCGAACGAUGCUUUAAAAAGUGUCGGUGGGUUCCAUUUCAAUGGUUACAUAGGCGGCAUGUUUAUGAUGCUUUGAUUAAUGUUGAGGACCAAAUUUGCAAUGCUAAUAAGUAUCGAAAUAGUCCAAAAAAAAAGCCAACCUUUCUCCUUAGUCAUAUAGUGUGUGUAUGUCUAUAUAUAUAGGGGAUAUAAUGCCUCAACCGAAAAAAAAAGAUAUGCAAACAUUACAAAUGAGAAUGGACUUUUAUCAUGUCAGCCAUGAUAAGAGAAUAAAAAUAUUUAGAAAGAUUCAAAGCUAAGUGGACAACUAAAUUAUCAGCAAGCCGAGCUAAAUUAUCUGCUAGUUGGUUUGCUUUUCUAAAAGCAUGAGACAUUAUAGUACUCAACUUGAAUAAAUCAAGUCAAAUCUAUAUUGAACUGGUAGGUUUGUAGCUCACAGGCUAUUGGAAUGAGGCUCAAAGUAAGUCACUUCCAAAUCAAAUGACACUAUUUGUGUCAGUUGGAGGAGGUGGAGAUUUAUAACACAAAAUCUGUCUAAGGCUCUAAGCUUCCCUAUUCCGCCACUCCAAGCAUCCUACCUGAUGAAAAUUGAUGAAAAUAAAAGAAAGAUAGAAAACAUUAACACCUUGGUAGGGAGUUUGGGGAAGAAAAGAAAAUAUUUGUGAGGAGAGAAAAGAAAAGAAAAGAAGUGCAUUUCUUUCUUCUUGAUUAGGACUUUAAAGAAAAAAGAAAAUAAUUUCUUUCCUUUUUUGUUGGAAGCAAAGAAGAAAGAAAGAAAAAAAAUAGUACAAUCUUCUUUUACUAUUAUACCCAAUUAAUCCCUCCAUCUCCCUCAAGUGCUCUCCUUCCCCAUAUAUCUCUAAAAAAAGAGAAGCAAAAAGAAAACAAUUUAAGUGGGAAAAGAUCUCAACUUCUUACUUUUUCCAUCUUUCUUUUGUUUCCUUUGAUUUUUUUUUCUAAGUUUCCCAUCGAUUUUGCCUUUGUUUUUCAUCCUCUAGAACCAAGAAAACCCUCCAUCUCCCUCAAGUGCUCUCCUUCCCCACAGUUCUCCAAAAAAGAGAAGUGAAAAUAAUAAAAAAAAAAAUCGAAGUAGGAAAAAGGUCUUAUCUUUUAAUUUUUUCCAUCUUUCCUUAUGUUUUCAUUGAUUUUUUUUGUCUUUCCUUGUAAUUUCAUUGAUUUUUCCCAUCCAUAGGAUUUUCAAUCGGGUAUGUCGCUUCAGGCAGCUUUUUUUUUUGUUCUAGGAGUCUUAAUUAGAAAGGAGGCUUGAAAUAAGUUCUCGGACUGAAAUAUAAUAUUAAUUUUAUUCUUCAUUAGUAAAGAGGUAAGAUGAGAAUUAUAAAAUUUUUUGAAACUCUUAAUUCUUUUUUCUUCAAAUUUACUCGAUUUGGAGGAGAAAAAAAUUAUAGGUUUGAAGGGGUUUGUAUUCUCUCUAUUUCUCUCCUUUUUUUUCUUUUUCUUUGAUGAAAAAAGUCCCAAUCAAGAGAAAGUAUUAACUUUCUUUUCUAUUUUUCUCUGCCAACCAAGGUGUAAAAGUAGAACCUUUUCCCAUAUAGAUCUUUUUUUGGGUCUUUUCGCUUUUUUUGCAUUCCAUUUCAUUAUCUUUUUUGGAGAUUUGUGGGGAAAGAGAGCAUUUGAGAAGAUUGGUGGUGUUUCUUACAUUCCAACUGGAGUUUCUUCUGGAUGGGAUUUUGUACAAGUUGUGGUGGUUUGAGUUGAUCUCUUGAGGUUUUGAGAGCUUAAUCUUAGUAGAAGCAUGAUUUUUUGUUGGCUUUGGGGUAUUUUGAUCAAAUAGAUUCUUCUUCGACUACAAAAUUUUCUAUUUAUGGAGUUCUGUUCUCAUGAUAAUAUGAAUAUAAUACCAAAUCCAUAGAUUAAGUGAGUUUAUCUAAUAGAUUUCCAUCAUUCUAUCUUAAACAUAUGCAUUUAUUGAUAUGAUCAAUGCUAAUAGAAAUCUAUCAUUUUCCCUUUUUUUUCUAGAUAUUUGAUAUUUAUUUGUUGUUCGUUCAAAAGGAAUCCAUCAUGUUCAUAGGCAUUGAAGCAUCGUCUUUUUUUUUUCUUGAAUUCAUUGUCUUUAUAAUCCAUAGUAAUCACUGGUAAUCACUACUUCUAGUUUUUAAUUUUAUAUCAUAUUUUAAUUGAUUAGGUGGGUUCAGGGACCUAAAUAAUUUGAUCCGAAUAAAGAUUAAUAUGUGAAUUUGAGUAUUGAGUUUAUACGAAUUUUCAAUGGGACUAGUUUGGAAUUUUUUUAUUAAUUUCAUAAUCAGAUUGGGGAUGGGUUUGGAUGGUAAGAUUUUAGCCAGUUCAGUUAUGGGUAACGCAAAAUUUGUAGGUUUCCUAACUGUUGCCAUCCUUAUCGGCUAGUGAUCUUGGACCAGAGGUGUGAUAGAGAUAAUAAAGCAUUCUAAGGUUAGAAUGCUAAUAUGCAAUUUGACUUAGUGUAUUAUCUAUUUAAUAACUAUUAAUUAUUAAGGAAUUCAAUUUAGAAAAGAUAAACGUUAAGGAAUCACCUUCAAGAUAGAUUCAUUUAAGCCCAAGUUGAUGAAUGGCAAUAGUUAAUUGCAUCCAAAAUGCUGGCUAGCCGAUUUGAUGACAUAUUAGCAGGCUCCUAUAAACAAUUGAAUUGGAAGAGUCUGUAGAUAUUUUCUUUUAAUUAAGUUCCAGUCUUCCAGACUUUUGGUGCUCAAGGGCACGUGCAAAGGCAAUGAUCAAUCUCUUCAAUAUUAAGUUGCCAAAGCCUGCAGGUAGUGGCUUGUUGUUGGAUCAUGCCUCUUGAGUGAAGAAAGGCUUUGCAUGGAAGAUGACCCCAACAUACUUUCCAUCAGAACAUCUUAAUUGAAGGAGCAGUCUUGAAAUGCCAAAUCCAACUUAAAUUCUGGUUUGCCUCAUAAUGCUGGUUGUUGGCAAUUUCUGCACAGACAUUUUUUUUUCAUACAAACAGGCAGUCACACCAAUUUGGUAUGAAAGCAGCCCAUGAAAUCAAGGUACAAAAAGUCUCAUAGAUCCGACAGGCCCAUGUCCCCCAUCUCUAGAUCCAGUCCCCUGAGUGGUCCAUCACAUAAGAAGCAACCCAAUCAGCCUUGCUGUUCGCCUUCCAAUAAAUAUGCCAGAUCGAUACUACAGUGAAAUGAUGUAGAGAAGUCCAGAUGUCACGGAGUAGUGGAUGUGCCUCUAGCUGCUUCAUGCUGCCUCAGAUCCAACCAAUGACGAUAGCAAAAUUUUUCUCAAAGAAGAUGCUCUCUACCUAUAGCUCCUAUCUAGGAUAAGUGAUGCCCACUCAGGUGGCAUGAAGCUCAAUUCCUAGGAUUGAAGGCUCAAAAAGAUGGGAGCUUCCAGCUACCAACCACCUAGUAUUAGGUUUCCAAAUGACAAAUCCCGCACCACCCCUCCCAUUCCUGACAUUGCCAUCGAAAUUCACCUUGACAAAUCCUAAGGGAGGGGCACAAAUAUCUUUGAUCUUUAGCAUAAUGUCUUGUGAUUUUUAUUCCACGAAAUGAUUCUCACCUUGACAUUUGGGGAUAUCAAUGGACAUUACACUAGCAACAUAAUUUUCUGAUUUUGAAACAUCCUUAAAUUUAAAAGGUACAAGAGCUUUCAUCAAAAAUAUUUAUGUGAUUAAUCAUCAAAAGCUAUCGUUGAUUAUGAUAUAUAUUUGUUUGACAAUCAAAUCUUAUGUUAAAUGGUCUAUUAACAAUGGUUGUAUGCUGUUUAGUUGUAAGAUUGUUCUAUAAUAUGUUUGCAAUAUAAUUAAAUGAUCAGUUCAUACAUGCUUCUUAUGACUUGUAUUUGGAAGAUUUACAACCCAAAUCAACUUGAAAAGUCCACUAAUUUAAAAUAAAUCAUAAAUUCGAUCUAAUUAGAAUCAAAUAGUAAUUGAUUUGACUUAAUUUUUAUAAAUUAGAUUCGAAAUAUGCCAAUCUGUAAACCUCGAUUCAUGCAGCCCCAUUUCUUGCUCUUCCAAUUUUUAAUUGUCAUCCUCAUGGUUGAUGUGGCUACCGCUUAUGAGAAACAAACCACAACACCAAAUCAUCAACUCUCUCUCCACUCUCUACUUAUUCCUCGGGCUAAUCCUAACCACAUCCACAACCCUUCAACUCAUCACUUACCAUCUGCCUCAUUCAAAAUAUAAUUCAAAAUCCACUCAUGAGUGUGCUUCCUACUAAAUCCAACAUAGUAUCCUAUUUAUUAUGAGAUCAGUUUUGUAUCUUUCGUAUGAAAGAAUGAUUGAUCUUCUUUUGUGAUGUUAAUUAUUGGAUCGUGAUUUAUUUCUUUCAAAGCAUGAGCUUAGCUUCAUGAUUUGUAUUGCGAAUGGAAGAAAAAGAUUUGUUGUGCUUUGAAGGCUUUGCAAAACACAUUUUGGUGGUUGAAAGAAGAUCAAUCAUUCUGUCAUGUGAAAGAUACAACCCAAAUAGUUGGCAGACCUCCACAAAAUUGGCCCAGCUCAAUUUUUGUCAACCUAAAUAAAAUUCUUAUUAGACUACCUGAUUUGAAUCAUACUCUUCAUAUUUGCACUAAAAUCGGGCCGCCCACAGGCUAAAUUUUAGCCCAACCUCUCGUGGUAUGCCUCACAUGGCACACCCCCACCCAUCUCCUUCUGGAGGCAUUUGGUAUGAGGUGAUCCAUCCAAGAUUAAGGAUGAUGUAGAUGGAGGUGAUGAGAUCAUCAUAUUUGAUUGCACCAUGACGAUCCUACGUGGUAGUGAUUUCAGAUCAUUCCUACUCCUCAAGUCAUCUCCAAACUCAUUAAUAGAAUACUCAUCCUUAAGGUCAAAAAUCUAAGAUUAUCCCCAAGCAAUGAUCUUGGAUUGAAAGAUAAUGACAAAAUACCCCUCAGUCUAGUGAAAAAAUUGAUAUAUCAAUAUACCAUUAAUAUAUUAUAUUAAUAUUAUAUUAUAUUUGAUAUUAUAUAUAUUACUUGAUAAUAUAUUAUUAAUUAUAUUAUUACAUAUUAUAAUUCAAUGAUAAUUUUAAAUUAAAAAAAAUAUCUUAUUAUACUUUAUAUUUAUAUAAUUAAAUAUUUAAUAUAUUACUUUAAUUUAUCUUAUUUUUUUAAUCAAAAUAAAUAUUCUGCAUGAAUAAAAAUUAACUAUCCUAAUUAAUUAAGUCAAAUAUAAAAUUAUAUCUUAAAAAAAUUAAUAUAAUAACUCUAUUGAUUUCUAGGACAUACAUCUAACAAGCUUUCAUUUGUACUGAAGUCAAUCUACCAUAUAUCUAAGUUGCAUCUUCAUAAGAUGUACUUUUGAUUCUAUGCUAGUAAGAUGGUUUAGUUAGUGGACCUGCUACAUUUUCGUGGGAUCUACUCUAAUUCUCAAAAUUUUACUUCUCGAGAUAGUCAUGAAUAAUUAUUUAUCGCUCUUAUAUACUAAAAAUUUUGGUGAGAUCUAGACUCCUUAGCUAGGGCUAUGGUAUCUAUAUUGUCGCAGUACAGUGUUGUGCCAUCUUAUGACAUUACAUACAGUUCUGCAAUAAAUCUUUUUUAACUAGAAGACUUUCUUAAUUACUCAUAAGCAGUGACAUACAUGGUCUUUGUAAAAUAUAUAAUAAUCGAUUCUUUAAAAUUUUUUCAAUGUACCGAAUCUUUAUUGUAUAAGAAAUUUUUUUUUUGAUGUAGACUCUCUACCAUCAAUAUCAGAUAUAAAGUUUGAUAUAGUGUAUCCUUCUACCCUCAACUUUAAUUCUCCUCAAAGACCAAUAAAAAAUUCUUAGUCUUUCUCAAGUAGCUAAGGAUGUUCUUCAUAGCUGUCCAGUGUUCUUAGCCUGGACUCGACUGACAUUUGCUCGUGACAGUCACAGCAAAGAUAUAUCAGGUCAUAUACAUAGUAUGGCAUACAUGAAGCUCCCACUAGCUGAAGCAUAAGGGAUCUAGCUCACGUAUUGUAUCUCCACAGAUGUGACCUACACAUCUCUCGAAGAGAUUAAUCCAAAACUCUUUUUGGAAUUUGUCAUGCUAAAGCUCUUCAGCACCUCUUCUAUAUACAUUUUCUAUAAAACUAGCAUCCUUUUUAGAUCUAUCUCAUAGAUCUAUAUAGGAUGUUUUCCAAAGAUCUUUUAUGAAGAAUAUCUUUAAACAACCAUAUUCUAACCAAAGUCAGUAUGGGAACAACAUUUUCAAUCAGAAGGAUGUCAUCCAUGUAUACUAUGAGGAUCAUAAUAAUACUCCCACUAACCUUCUUAUAAACACAUGUUUCCUCCUCUUCCUUGAUGAUAUCAAACAAUUUGAUACAUUUAGUGUUCCAAUUUUGAGAUACUUGCUUUUAAGAUCUCUGCCUUUACAUCACUUUCUUUUGUAGAUCUAUUUGAAUCCAAUAGGUACUAUACCUGCUGGUGGAUCCACUAAGGUUCAAACUUGGUUAGAAUGCAUCUAGUCAACUUUUGACUUUAUUGCAUUCAAUCAUUUCUCGAAAUUGAUGUCUGACAUCACCUCAUAGUAAUUUUUGGAUCAUCUUCAUGUCCCUUGUCUCCUAUGAGGAAUAUUUCUUCUACAUCCUUUAUUAGAAUAUACAAGUAUCUAUCAAAGGAUGGGAGACUCCAUGAGGUGAAGGAGAAACUAUAUGUACUGGCUCAAUAUGAAUAGGCUCUAUAGGUUCUUGUUGGAUGUGUGCCCUAGAAGCUAAUUAUUGGCUAAUAUAUUUUAUAAUUUUAGAGUAUUAAUUUAUACUAGUAAAAUAUUUAUUAUUAAUAAGGGAUAAAUUUUAUUUUCAAUCAUAUUUUAUGUGUCCAUGAUUUAUCCUAAAAAUUAACAGAUAAUUUUUUAUAUUUUUAAAGUAUUAAGAAUUUGAGACAUACAUUAUUAGUGGUUAAUUUCUAAAUGCUCUCGAUUGUAGGAUCAUCAUGAAAGAUAGUGAUCGAUCCAGUUAGAUCGGUACGUGAAUCACCUUCCUUCUAGAUAGAUAAAUCUCGAGUCUGCAGUGUGAAGAUACUGAGGUGAGAGUACAGAUAGUUGUUAGAGAAUAACUUACACUGAGUGUGAUCAACAUGAGAAACUACUUAGAUGACUACUCACUUGUCAGUGAUUUAUUCGAUGCUGCAGUGGCGUGAGUGUCUUUUGACGUGCAGUGCAUUGACUAUUCGUAGUGAGGUUACUGAGUUUUACUGCACCAAAACUUAGAUCCUUAGCCAUUUGGAUCCUUGCGGUGCAUGUUAGUUUCAAUGGGUUUCAGUUCACUAUUAGGAGUAGAAUGUAUUUAGAUAAAAUCUAUUGAUCUUGAUAAAAAAAGAAAAAGUCCUAUGUGAUUUAUAAGAUUGAGUUCAGUAAGUUUUCAGUCGAAGUAAGUAUGAAUACUGAAAAAAAAAUUUAUAAGAUUUAUGAAUGAACUCGAGUCGAGUCAAUCUGGCAUAUAACUGACAUUGGGGUUUGAUAAGUUCUUUAUGACCUCCAUCGAGUCAGAACUCAUUAUAGAAGGACUAAAUUACAAGAUAACUAUACCUAGAGAUUCAAUACUUUCAUUCUGCUGGAUUGUCACUACAUAUUGCUAGGUAUCACUAGUGGAUUGUGAGAUUCGUCGAGCAUCAUCUUGAUGAUCGAUGACCCUCGAAGGAUAGAGUUAGAAUUAUUCCAACCCAUCGAAAGAAGUUUCGAUGAUAUUAUGAUGGAGAUCACAAUAUAUCUCACUAUCAGACAGAAUAGAAUCUAUGAGGUCAAAUAUAAAAGAGAUUCUUGUCUGAUCAGAUGGCUGAUUAACGAUUAUGAAUCAUUAAAGGAUAUAAUCAUCAAUGUGAUUAGUGAUUAACCUUAUACAAAAGUUGUAAUAAAGUAAUUCGCUAAGAGUUAGUGAAUUAUAAGAGGAUUAAUUAGUAAUUAAAUUACUAAUUAAUUUAAUUUGAUAGAGCAAUGAGGUUUAGAUCAAGUCUAAUUAAAUAAGAUUCAGUUUGACUUGAAUUGGGUUUAGUCCGAUUGCAAAGAAGAUUAAUUCCUGAUUUGAUCAGAACAUGACUUUAGUUAAUUUUUAAUUAGAUUAAGAUUUAAUUAAGAAGAUUAGAUUUCUAAUUGGAUUAUGUUCACUAUCUCUUUGGGUCUAAUCAAAUUGGAUUUGAUUUGGGACUAAAUUAGAACUAACCAACAGACCUAAUUGCAAGGGACUCUUCCUCCCUUUGCGCCACACCCUUAAUGAUGCCCUUUUUCCCUUAAUACCAAUAUGGUUUUUGCGUGAGGUUUCUUCAUGUGAAUUUGUGUUUCCACCCCUUCCUAUCUCAUGUUUAAAUAUGGGAUAAAAUAUGAUUGAUAAGGUAAGCUCAAAUUAGAUUUGAAUUUAAUUCCUUAUCAGGAUGAGGUUUGACCUCAUCCAAAAUCUUCGGAUGCCAACCGGAUAAUGCCAUUCUUUUUGUGAGACAAAGAGAACAAAAAAUCAUCGUGAGAAAUCUAAAAUAUCACCAUGGAAAUCUAGUUGUGCAUGAGGUCCUUGUGGGCAUGAGUUUUAAGGUGGGUGACUCCAUAUUUGGCAUGUAGAAGAUCCUAGGGUACUAGGGUUUUGAGCAUUAGGUGUUGGGAAGAGAGAAAGAGUUCUCAAGAGUCUUUCUCCACCUUCUCUUCCUCCAAUCCUUCUUGUUCUUUGAGAGCAUCCAAGAGAUUUGAAGAGGGAGAUCAAUCAAUCAUCAGGAGUGGAUCUCUACAAAAGAGCUAGCACCUCGGAGAGAUCGUCGGACCUCUGAUCAGAUCGGAGCCUCGUGUGAAUAUCUAUAGAGACUGGAUGCAUGUACAGUUUAAGAAACCUAACAAAUCCAUGAUCAUCAGCUAUGGUAAAGAUCGAUCCAUGCUUAGGUAUUGAGAUCUGAUCUCUAUUUCAUCGUAGAUGUAAUCUACAGCAUAGAUAUGAUCUAUGGAUUUUAAAUUUCAGAUUAUGCAUGCUGUGUUUAUGUCAUCAAAUCCAUACUUAGAUAGUUUUCAAAUUAUAUCUGAUACAUUCUAGGUUAAGAGUUAAUCUAGACAUCUUCUACUGCUAUAGAUUCAGAAAGGUUCUAAAAUUCAUGCAUGAAACUAUCAAUUUCUAACAGUAUUAUCAGAUCCAUAAUUUUUGACAUGAAUGUUCAGAUCUGAUUUUAUUUUCAUAUAUAAUAUAUGAAGCAUAUUUAGAUCUGAUUUUAUUUUCAUAUAUAUGAUAUAUGAAGCAUAUUUAGAUUUGAAUCUAAUGUUCAUAUAUGCAACAUAUGUUUCAUAUUUAGAUCUGAAUUUCUGUUCAUAUAUGAGAUAUGUGAAAGCAUGUGUAGAUCUAAAAUUUAUUUUAAAUACAUAUGUGAUAUAUUAGAUUUAAUUUCUAGUAGCCUAGUAUUCUUCAAGAAUCAUAGUAAAGGCCAUCCUGCCAUAUGAAAUUAUAGUGGAAUGGGUGCCUGUAUGAAUCAAGAAGAAGAACCGUGAAAAGAAAGCCCUAGAUAUAUAAGAUACAUGUUGUAUGUUUAGAUCUAAAACUGUUUCGACAUCUAAACUGAAUUCCAUGUUUAUAAUGCACUUAAUUAAGAUCUGAAAAUGAGAUUUUAAGAUCUGAAAUUAAGAUUAAUAGAUCUAAAAAUGAGAUUUUAAGAUCUGAAAUUUAAUGCAUGAAACAUAGAUUUUGGAUAUGGAUCAAACAAAUUAGGUCUAAUAAUCAAACUAUAAUGAGGAUCAUUGAUUAGAUCAGGUUAGAACCCACUGUCGAUUUUGAGUAGUUGAUCGAAUCUAAUCUGUGGUGGGUUAGGAUUAGGUCAAAGAGGCUCAAAAUCGAGUUUAGUUAUAGUUGGUUACAUCGAUUCAUAUUUUGAUGUGAAUUGAUUGACUCAAGAUUGAAUUUGGCUUGAUGGUUCGAGUCUGAGUCACUAGGCUAACCUAUUUGAUUCUAAUUGAUCAAUUUGUAUCUAAAAUAAAUAAGGCAUCUUGAUCGAUGAUUUUUAAUUGAGAGCAUGCUUAUCUAGCCAUUUCGAUGGUGUCUAAGAUAAGCAUCGGCAGACCCUCCCAUCGAUCUCACUUAUCUAGCCAAUUUGGUUGAUUAAGAAUUGAAUAGGAUUGUUUGGUCAUUCAUGUUCACCAAUGCCAACUAGAUUAGUCAGAUAUGAGAUUGUGCUAACUUAAAUCUGGUCAGUCAGACAUCAGAUGUGCUGACUUAGAUGAGAUCUGAACCUAAAUUUUUUCAAUUAAAUAUUAAGUCUAGCAGUCUUUCAAUAGAGAUGAGGGUGCCUUCCUGGCAUCGAUCAUUCUCAACUGGUCAUAGUUGUUCGGUUGCAUCGAAAAGGCACAAUCACUUUAUUGACAUUAGAUGCCUUAGGGUAGAGAUAGGAUUGGAUCCAAUAACUAUUAGGUGAAGAACCCAAUGAUGGCUUUGUGCCCGCUGAUAAACGGUGGAUCUGACUUAACUAAGAAAUAUGCCAAUUGAUGGAGAGGCAGGUGGUUUCAUGCAUGUAUUUUAAAUUUUUUUAAUGAAAAUAAAAUAGAUUAAAUAAUUUAAUCUACUAUGAAUGCAUUAGAUCAGAUCUAAAAACUACCUACUAAGGAUCAUUUGACAUAAACAUACAUGCAUAAUCUAAAAUCAAACACUAACAAGCAUCGAUCAUAUCAAUGCCCUAGAUCAAAUCUAUCUAGUCAUUGAGUUUUGAACCCAAUAUCUGAGCAUGGAUCGAAGAUCGCCACUACUGAUUAUCGUAGGAUCUAAGGUUCUUUUAGUCAUGCAGUGGUUGCACAGAUUGUUCGGCCUCUAGGAAGUCCACACAAAGUCCGAAUCCGACUGAUCUCCCUGGAGUGCUACCUCCUUACAGAGCCCACUUGAUGACUGAUCACGUUUCUUCUUCGAAUCACUUGGACUCUUCCAAGAAAGAAAGAAGAAGGCUUUAAGGAGGAUGUUGAGGUGGAUGAAAAAAUUAGAAGAGGGGAAACUAUUUCUCUCUUUCCUAAAAUCCCAACGAUGAAACCUUAGACUGAACCCUAGGGAACCCUCGGCCAGAUCUCAUGCCCACUCUUUUUCUCCCUACCUUUUCUCUUGAUGAAAACCCGAUUUUCAUUCUUUCACAUGUCAAAAACAAACUCAUUUUAUUAUGGCAUGCAAGGGAGAAGGAUAAGGAUAAGUUCAAAUCAAAUUCAAACUUAAAUACAAAUCAAGAUAAGGAUUGGUUCAAGCUUGAAUUCAAAUCAAAUUUGAAUUCAAUUUUAAACCAAUCAUUAUCCCAUCCAUAUGGGCAUUAAGAAGGGGCAAGAAACACCUUCUAGGCAUGGGAAAACUUCAUGCAAAACUGAAUUAUGCGUAAGAACAAGGCGUGGAAAAAAGGAGUUGGCGCAAGGGAAGUAGUCCAAUUUAAUUGGACUCAUAUGUUUAUCCAUUUAGGUCCAAUCCAAAUUCAUUUGGUUAGAUCCUAAAUUAAAUAAAAGAAUCUAAUCUAAUUAGGCACUAAAUUAGCUUGAUUAAAUUUUAAUCCAAUCAAAAAUUAAUCGAGCUCAAGUCUUGAUCAAAUCAGGAAUCAAUCUCCCUUUGCGAUUGAACCAUCUUAUAACCUAAUCAAGUCAAACAUAAUUGAAUCCAAUUCAAUUAGAUUUAAUCUAAAUCUCAUUGCUCAAGCAAAUUGAGCUAAUUUACAAUCUAAUCGCUAAUUUAUCCUUUUAUAAUUUUAUUUCAAUUUUUAUAUAAGAUUCAUCAUCAAUCAUAUUGACGAUUGUACUCUUGAAUGAUUCUUAAUCGUUGAUCAGCUACCUGAUCAGAUAGAAAUUUCUAUUGCAUGUGAUCCCAUAGGUUCGAACCUAAGUCAGUAGUAUAGAAAUAAAUUUUUGUACUAAUCAAAGUGAUCAUCUAGCAAUGAUAUCCGACAUCCAAAUAGGCCAAAAGAUUGCAAAGCAACAUUCAAGAACUUUUGGCAUAUGGUUAUCGUAUAAUUCAUCUCUUUGAUCCUCAAUGCUCAAGAUGACUUCAGAAUAAAACUAUCAACUCUUAACCAGUACAUCCAUUUUAUAUCUCAACUUUAUAAAUCCUGUGGCUCCUCACAAAGAUUAUUCUGAUCAAAAUUUUACUAAAUUGAAGCACAACAUAGCACUAUCUCUUGAAACUAGGGGCAGUCAAUCUCAUUUUCACUCACAUACAGACUUCAUAAGUAUUUGACUAUAAUCAAAAUUCUUUCAUCACUUUAUUAAAAGUACAUAUAGUCUGACACCAAAGCAUAGUGAGUUGCUUGUAAAUCACAAUAGUGAUCUCAGAUUGGAGGGACACUUAUAUCCAUAUCCUUCGCAAGCAGCUCUUAACAGCAGAGUACUCCACAGUUUGAUCACGUUUAGUGAAAUAUACUCCUAUAUUUUACUUGCAUGCCAUACCAGUAUCUCUAGUAUUCAAUACCUAGAUAGUAAUAUCACAAAUAGAGAAGUUACAAGGUAUUAUUAUAUAAUUAUUUUGACUAGCAACCACUUGCUGCUUUCUCUUAUUAGGCCUAUUCGGAUCAAAAAAAGUAAUAUACUGAGGAUAAUUUCUGUUCCAGUGACCUAACUUCUUACAAUAGAAGCAUUCCACCUGACUCUAGUCAGUCUUAGACUUUUUGGUCUGAACAGGCUUAGGCGCCCUAGCAUGCUACACCUUUUUAUUCUUUUUUUCUUCCCUUUCUUAAAGGGACAUCGCCGAAAAGAGGAACCACCCACCACAUUCAUCGACUCAUUAUGGAGCUGAUGAUCCUUCUCAAAAGUCUACAGUAAUCUUAACAAAUUAUAGUAGUUUACUGCAGGCUUAGUCAUUUUAUAAUGAUUAAAAAAAAGUAGGUAAGUCUUAGAAAAAGAAUUCAGGAUCACAUCUUUUUCUAGUUGCUCAUGUAAGAAAAAUCUGAGUUUGCUCAGACACUCGAUCUACUCGAUCAUGUAUAGUACAUGAUCAAUAACCGAUGCCCCUUCCUCAUCUGGACAUUAUAGACAGCACAAGAAUUUUGUGCCCUUCAACAUCAUCAGGAGUGCUAAAGGAUUCAUUCAGUACAUAAGUAUUUUCUCUGACUGAGCAUUCUCAAAUUUGUGAUUGAACUCGUCAUUCAUAGCCACCUGCAUGAUGCAACGUACAGUGAUUCGAUCAUUGAGCCACUUCUGGUAAAUAUCUCGAACCAUACCACGAGCAUUCAGAGCAGACUCCUCAGGUGUCGAAUCUGCAAGAAUAUAUAAGAUCCGCUCAUUCUCCAGAAUAAACUUUAAAUUUUGAUAUCAACUAUCGAAAUUAGAUCCUGAGAGCUUGUCACUGUCUAACAGUGAGCGGAGCGAGAAAGAACUAGCCAUUACUGAAAAGAAAACAAAAGAUCAAUUAGUAUAUAAAUUAUUUAAGCCUAAAGACUUAGGCUUUAGUCUAAAAGUUCUCCAACUAUUUUAUACGAGUUAGUAGUCUCUACCUCUAAUUUGAGGAAUCACUUUAAUUCCUUAGCAGGUACUAGAAUCCACACAUACUGCACAUGGGUCUGAAUAUGGCUCGGCUAAUCCUUGUGCAUCUAUGAGUAGGUUUUUAAUUA
rnacentral:lncRNA from 1 species